GCCGAGCUGGUAACGUUAGCUUGUAACCCAAGUGGGGGCAUUAAAGUGGUGGAAUGGUUGGGCUGACUCCAGCUGGGUAGGACUUUGUGGGCUAAUCUCUAGCCUGCCCUGUCCAAGCAUAGAGUUGGGCUUCGCGGCCCAAGUGAAAAUAUGGGUUGCGUAGCUCCUAAAGUGGGGCGGACCGCGUGAGGCUGGUUUAACAGAGCAACGAACAGCUCCCGCUCUGUGCAGUGGAAGGAUUACGGGCCAGUGUUCACAGAGUCCAACAAAAACCUGAUGGGCUGCUACAAUUAAACCAUCACUUUUUUGCCAAAAUGGGCUAGAAAAUGCCAAACAAAUUUGAUACGCUUACAACAAGAUAAAGAUAGAAAAACGUCCACUUCAUCAUUUUCAAUUUAUACCAGACUCACUCUAAGAUUAAUUCCUGUGGUCCUUAAUACUCUUGUUUUAUCAUUUUGUCUACUUGGACUAAACUAAUUUCAACGAUUUCCAACAUUCAUCACCCUUAUGCUUAAUUCUUUUUCCUACUUUCUUCCCUUUUUUUCAUGAUCCCAGACACUAAUAUAUUAGAAUAUUGUAUUCAUUAUCAUUGUUGCUAUUAUAUCAUAUAUUAUUUUUAUAUUAACAGAAUAGAAAAGAAUAUGUGGUACCUAAUUGACAGAGAUUAUGCAUUAUUUGCCUAAAUAUUUUGAGAUAUGCAUUUUCUGAUACCUAUUUACAUAGAGUCUGCAUAUACAAAGAUGUUAUAAAUAACCCAUAGCGGUACAAGCUAAAUUCGAAAACCCAUAUGUAAAGGGAUGAAUGAGACUGGAUUGAAUUAAUUUCAUUCCUACCGAGGAUAAAACAAAUGAAGAAAACAAACUUCGAACUCUUAUGAAAUUAAAAAUUGAUUAUCCAACUCGGUGUGUUUGGUGCGAAGGAAAAUAUUUUCCGGAAAAUAUUUUUCAUGUUUAGUUGGCUUAAAUAUUUUGGAAAAUAUUUUCCUCAUGAACUCAUUUUCUUAAAAUGUUUUUCCUAUCAAGAGAAGUGAAAAUAUUUUCCAAAACUCUCUUUUAACCUUCCCCACCCACCCCCACCUCACCCCCUACCAACCUACCCCCACCCUACCACCCAUCCAUCCCACCCUUGCCCAAACCCCCACACUAAAUAGAAAUAUUCUUAAUGAUACUUUCUUUUCAUGUUAUAGAUAGAGUACUUUUUUUUCAUUUUAACAAAUGAGUAUUUUUUUUUCGUGAUGUAAAAAAGUAUUUUCUUUCCUUUCAACAAAAUGAUAUAGUAAAAAGUAUUUUAUUUCAUUUCAAAAAAAAAAAAUCAUGAUGUAGAAAAAGUGUUUUCUUUCAUUUCAACAAUAAAAGUAAUUUCUUUUUAUGAUGUAAAAAAAACAUUUUCUUUCAUUUCAACAAAAUAAGUACUUUAUUUUCAUGUUGUAAAAAGAGUACUUUUUUUUAACAAAAGAAAAAGAGUAUUUUCUUUUUAGUUAUGGAACAAAAAAUCUCAACGUUAUUUUUGCGUAAAAAAGUAAUGCAACACAUUACUUCAUUUGGGUUUGUAUGAAUUUUUAGAAGAAUAAUUAAAUUAUUGAAGAAAAAAAAGUCCUGAAAACGUUGGGUAUUUGGGGGGAAGGGAGAAGAGCACAUGAAACAUGGGAACUUAGAGGAAGGAGGUGAGGCAAAAAAAUUUACACUCACCAACCAAACAAAGAAAAAUAAAUUAUAAACCACUCAUUUUCCAUGGAAAACAUUUUUUGUCAUCCCAAACACACCCUUCAUCUACUCAAUUUAUUUUUCUGUGCUUCUAACUUUUGCAGAAGAUCUCAUCAUUUUUCUUGGGGGGAAAGCUGAAACAGAUAGAAGCCAUCUGUGUUCAUUAUUGCAGAGUUUUUGUUUGCAGACGCAUUUCAGUUGUCCAGAAGAAAAAACAAUGGUAAGAAUCACUCGCUAAUUUGACAUGGGCUCUUCUCCUAAAACUAAGACGAAUACCCAAUAACACUGAGAAUCGGGCAGAUUAAUGUAAGUUUUCCCUUUCAACUUUCCCACACAUAGGUAAGACUAAUGCUACAACAAGAUAUUUCGAACUAUAAAUGACAAAAGGGAUGGUGUCAUUACAAACUCCACCCAAAAUGCAGCUACUGCAAGUGAUCAGGCUAGUCACUAGUGUGUCUUUAGCAAGCUCUUGCACAUAGAGCUCGAGUAGCAGUCAAUCGUUAAGCGAGGGUUGCUCUUUUUCCUUUUGCUUCUCUUGACUGUAAAUAAACAUGGUUGAAUGGAGGUUAGCUAUACCAAACAAUAGAAAAGGUUAUCAUACUAGCAAGCUAUAUAGGGAGGUAAAUCAUCUCCCAGUCCAGCUUUAAGCAAAGAACACCGCACCUGUGCAGCCACUGAUCUUUUUGCAUCCAAAAACUGACUGUAGAUGUCAUAUAAUCGCUGCUUUUCAGCAUCAGAAACAGAUGGUUUUGCCUUGGAUGCAAUAGAUUUCAGGAGAGCAUCAGAGAUGAUUGGCUUCUUCUCAGGCUUGCCGACAUUUUCACUAUCUAGAAGAUCAUGGACAGCCUCAAGCUGUGCAUCAGAGAGAAGUGCUUGGAGGUCAGCUCCACUGAACCCUUCUGUCAAACGAGCUACGCCAUCCAAAUCGACAUCACUUUCAAAUGGUAACUGCAUUUAAGCAAGUAAAUCAGUUACUGUCUUCAUUCAAAUAAAAGUAUACUUAAAAAUUUAAUAUACGGACCAUCGUCAAAGCAAAAGCUUUACUGGUUAGAGGUACGGAGGCAGACCGUGGAGUCUAAAGGUUUCAAGUUGAGCAGGACCAAGACAGAAUACUUGGAGUGUAAGUUCAGUGGUGAGACUCAGGGAGGGGAAGGGGAGGUGAGGUUGGAUUCGCAGGUCAUCCCUAGGAGAGGAAGUUUUAAAUAUCUUGGUUCUAUUAUUCAGAGGGAUGGGGAGAUUGAUGAAGAUAUCACACAUCGAAUUGGGACGGGAUGGAUGAAAUGGAGACUCGCUUCCGGUAUUUUGUGUGACAAGAAGGUGCCACCGAAACUUAAAAGUAAGUUCUACAGAGUGGUAGUCAGACCGACUAUGUUGUAUGGGGCUGAGUGUUGACCAGUCAAAAUCGCUCAUGUCCAUAAGAUGAAGGUAGCAGAGAUGAGCAUGUUGAGAUGGAUGUGCGGGCGCACCAGGUUAGAUAGGAUUAGGAACGAGGUUAUUCACGACAAGGUGGGCGUGGCCCCUAUUGAGGACAAGAUGCGGGAAGCGCGGCUUUGGUGGUUUGGUCAUGUGAGGAGCAGGAGCACAGACGCCCCGGUGGGGAGGUGUGAGAGGUUGACAUUGGAGGGCCUACGGAGAGGUAGAGGUAAGCCAAAGAAGAGGUGGGGAGAGGUGAUUAGGCAAGACAUGGCGCAGCUUCAGCUGACCGAGGACAUGACCCUUGAUAGGAAGGUAGAGAGGUCGAGGAUUAGGAUAGUAGGGUAAGUAGUCUAGAGUGUUCAUAACAGUAGUAUUGGCACACAGUCUCGCUUUCUGUUGGUAGUAGGUUUUUAAGACUAACCAUUGUUUUCUUUCAUUGUUGAUCACCUUACUAUAUUGUUGUUUUUAUUCUGCUUUUAUAUUGCUUUUUGGUGCUGUCCCUUCUUGUCUAUAUUUUCAUUAAUGUGGUGCUUAUACUUUCCUGAUCCGAGCGUCUAUUGGAAACAGACUUUCUAUCCUCACAAGGUAGGGGGUAAGGUCUACGUACACAUUACCCUCCCCACACCCCACAGUUGGAUAAUACUGGAUAUGUUGUUAUUGUCUUGAUCCCUCCCAAAUUUUACUCAUAGGAAUGAUCACGUUUCCCUCCUACCAUUUCUUUAAAAUGAUUUAACAAACACUUCGCCAUUAUAUUGUCACUUUGCAAAGACAAGAAGGAACCGAGACCUAUGUUACUCGGGCUCUCCAAAUAUGUCACCAGUGCGUAUCAGGUCUUCCAAAAUUAGUGCAUUUAUGGAGGAUCUGACACGGGUACGACAACAUAUUUGGAAAAUCCGCACAACAUAGACCAAGACUGUUAAAGACCUUUCAAUCUAAUUCCAAGGAAGCCUGAGUCUAAAUCGGAAGAACAUGGAAAUCGGUGACCUUGGGAAACCUAACUUUUAGCAUAACCUAAAAGUUACCCAAUAUUGUACUAAGUAUUCUACAUUCCUUUGCCCCGAAUGAAACAAAUGAGAUCUUUCCUUCGUAAGAUCCAUUUGUACUGUCAGGUUAUUCCUAAUUGAGGCAAAUAUGAGUAAAUCCAAUCAAGUCAAGCCCCAUUACCAUGUAGUUGAAUGGGGAAGAGGCAUAAACUAAUCUGGAAAGACAUCCCACACCUCCUGCUCAUUAUCCACAUAAUAUAACAUCUCUUUGAGAUUGAUUGAAAGAAGUGCCCCAAUCAGAAUAAGACUUACUUUUCUCGAUAGAACAGAAAGAAUCUCCAACCUCUCACGCUGGGAAGGAAAAUCGCAGAAGAGAAGGCGAUCCAGCCUUCCAGGUCGUAAAAGUGCAGCAUCAAGCAAGUCCGGUCUACUGCUUAAAAAUGAAGACAAGAAAGGUCAAACUUGAUCAGAGAAAUUGCAUCAUGGUAUUCUUCCACAGAAAAGAAGGCUAAUGAAUUCUUGUUCUUCAUAAAGGAUCAAGUAUUCAGUAAAAUGCAGAAGUAUAUCAUGAUUAGACAACCUUAACAGUACAGGGGUAUGGAAUGUUAGGCUACAAGUUUUAUCACCGGCUGUUAACUAUUCCAUAAAAGAAUACCACAUAACAAUGUAGUGAUGAAUUCAAUUCCAUCAUUCAGACACAGGUACUUGAUGUACCUUUAAAGCUAAAUGUCAUUAGGUCAAAAAGGGAAAAUAUUCAUGAGCUAAAAUUACUUUCCAGUAGAGAUAUUCUCACAGGCAUUUCAUUAGGUCUAUACAAAUACCAUGGUCUAAAGUAGAAUGAGUUGCAUGUAGUAUUCACUCUCAAAGAGUCAUAAGGCAAGGGGUGCAGGCAUGCCAAUUUGUAUGCCACAGAGAUAACGCUGCCAACCCCCGAUCACCUAUUCCACAACUAAAAGGAGGACAGAUGUUAUUAGUUUCUUUUUACAAGUAAAAGGAAGACAAAUUUUAUUAGAUAAAUAACUAUAGGUCAAGUAAAAGGAUUUAGUCAAAGAGAAAGCUGCUGCUGAUCUAUAGAAUAUUUUAGAUGUCUUCGCCUGUGCUCGAGCACUCACGUACACACCUAUUCAAAUAUAUCCGUGUGUAUUUUGCCAUUUCAGUGACACGCAUGAGAUUGCCCAGAACCGAUAACCUCAACAUGGUAAAUAGGGAUACCAAGUUGGAAGACUCUAGCUUGAUCUUUAAAGCAUUACACACUUUUGGACCACCUAAGCUUGAUACGACCCCUUGUUCUUCAUAAUCUCCUCAACAAAGAUGUUCAACAGACAGACAAUAACUAAAUAUAUUAACCAAGUUCUUUCAAGCAGUUGUUUCUGGCCUUUUUUUCCCCUUAUUAUUAUGUGAGGCACCAUUAGCUUUUAGAGAGUAGAGAGUAUCAGAAAAAAAUUUCUAAAUUGAUUCUAUUAAUCUCUGACCUAAAGAAUUUUUUUUUCCCCAAUGACUAGUCCCUGCAAAAGAUUGAAGAGAAAAGAUUAAAGAAUGCCUCUGUUCUAUAAAUUCCCCUCUGGAAGUGGUCCAUCUCUUAGUGUAACAAUUUCCAACCUAGCAAUUAAGGAAAACUCACUUAACGGUUUGAGACUUCAAUGGCAAUAAAUCUGGAAACUAACUGAUGCACUCUCCAUCCCGUGCAUUUCUGUGCGUCUGUUUCAACCUGCAUUAAUGUCUAUCUAGUAGUACAAAACUCAACAAAAUAACAAGGCUGCAUAUAUGCUCAAUCACUGAUUAGGCCAAGAACCGACAAACGUGCCAACAGAUGAAAUACGGGUACCACAUAUUCAAGUGAAGGCAAAAACUUGAAAGCAAUAGUAAACCAAGCCCAUCCUGUUAGACGCUAACCUUGUAGCAGCAAAUACAAAUACACCCGUUAACACUUCAACACCAUCCAAUUCAGUAAGAAACUGCAUUAAUUGAACAAAAAUGAAAAUUAUGCAAGGUAAAAAGAGGAUGGAAACAACAAAAGAUAUGGACAAGAAAUAACCUGAUUAACAACUCUAUCAGUAACACCAGUGUUGUCAUGCCCUCUCUUUGGCGCGAUAGAAUCAAAUUCAUCAAAAAAUAGAAGGCAUGGUGCUGCUGCAGCUGCUUUUGAGAAUAUAUCUCGUACCUAAAACAAAAUAAUUAGCAUGAACAAUCCAAAAGCUCCAAGAAAAGCUAGAUGCUAGGAUGUAGGGGGUUGACAAUUUGGUCUUCAGAUAGCUAUUAGAUUUUCAGAACAUUUUUAAGACUUUGACCAAUCUAUUAUAUGAAAACUUAAGUUCAAGUUAUUGUGGCCAUGAUUAGGAAAACAAGUUUUACUUGUCCAGUUUGACCUUAUCUUGAACUUAAGCAACCAACCUUCUGGGAGGUGGGUUGGGAUGAGACAUGAGAGCAAAAGUUGAACCCGAGAAGAUUGAUAAUCCAAAUUCUGUCUUGAUGUUUAAUUUAUUUAUUGAUUUUUCCCUUCUUCCGUUUUUUUUUUUUUUUUUGGGGGGGGGUUUUGGGGGGGNGGGGGGNNNNNNNNNNNNNNNNNNNNNNNNNGGGGGGGGGGCAGCUCCUGUUCAAGCUCUUGUUUCGGUUCCCGCAAAAGAAUUUGUUGCAGUAGUAGCGGGGGAGGGUGUUUGGCAUCAUCAUAAUAACAAUAUGUACUAGGGGAAGUGGAAAAGUUGUAAAUUCUCUUACAGCUUGCUCAGAAGCACCAAUGUAUUUAUUCAGCAGCUCAGGACCUUUGACUGAGAUAAAUCUUAGUGAGCAUGCAGCAGCUGCAGCACCAACAAUGUGUGUUUUGCCACAACCAGGGGGGCCAUACAACAGAACAUUGGACCGCAUCCUUAGAGGAGCUUGUGCAAAUAUAUUUGGAAAUUUGGAUGGCAAUUCAAUCAUCUGACAGCAGCAAAAACAGGAACUUGAUAUGCUGAACUAAUUGAUCCAAGCUAAAGUUGAUAUGAAAUAUAAAAGAGAACCUUCAAGUAAAGCACAUGCAAACCCUAGAACAUGAUUUUUGUUUAGCUUAACACCCAUACUACUUAAAAGGGGUUUAUAACCAUUUAUCAUCAUUCACUAUCAAGGAUGUUCAUCCAUAUUUGCUGAAUGAUAGCAUACUUGGACAUAGAAGAUGAGUAACUAAGUUACAUAACGAAACAAGACAAAAAGAAAAGAACCCCCAACAAGCUCAUGAAACAAAGAAAGAAGUGCAAGCUAAAGUUAUUCUAGAGUGUCUGGUAUUCCAUCUCUCUGACAAGCUGACAAGCCAAUUAGUAGUUGAUGUUUCUAUCCCACUACAUGAGUAAUAAUUAUUGGCUGCCUUUAUUGAAGCCAACGCAAUAAUAUAGGCAAACUAUAAUCAUUCAACCAGAGGGAAAAGAAGACCAAUGGCAUGAGAAGUUGCCUCCUUAGGUCUAAUGUGGGUUGUACGGAGGUAGAGACAUAGGAGAGCCUUUGAGGAGAUUGAAAAUGAUUUUAUACAUUUGAGGAAUAUUGAAAAUGAUUUUGUAUAUUUGAGGAGUAGCCUCAUGUCUUUGAUUGCUUUUAGAGCACCCAUGAGAUUCCUAUUUGUAUAGAUGACCGAGUGUCUAUUGUAGAGAAUUAUGUUUUGAUAUAGAGUCACCACUUUUCCGUAUACCUCUUGUAUAUGGGAGCUUUUCCCAAUAUUAAUAAACUUAUUUACCUUACAAAAGCAUCGUUAAUCAUGCAGGAAAGCCAAUAUAGAUGUUGCCAUCCGCAAGUUUCUUAAUUGUUAUGGAAAGGAGAGAUGGAAAAAGAAUAGAAGAAAACAGUGCAAAUGUGAAAGAAUAAUUUAUAUUGAUAAAAUGCUGAAUGGAUUGAUCACAUUUCUUCUGAUUGUUGGAAGGUGAGUCUAAAAUGUUCAAAAGAAAUAAAAUAUGGAGUAUAAAUCAUGGGUCCAAGGGCAAAAAAGCUUUUACCUUCAGGUUUCUCUCUCAUCAUAUUAGAAACAAAAUGACUUUGUAAAAAAUUUGAAGUCCACUUCCUUUCUCUCUCAUAUCCAGCAUAUAAUUUAAAAUUGCCAUAUCCACACCUUCAGUGGGGGCAAUUUUUAACUCAAUAAUUAAAAGAUUAUACAAAGUAUUUAUUAGAACCCAAAGUUUUGAAAGAAAAAGGAGGAUCAAAUUAACCUCCAUGUGCCAAAUGAAUGUUGAUAAUGCAAAUCUGCAUCCUAUCGAAGUUGCAUUUUUAGUGCUCCCCUGACAUAAAGGAAGCUUUUUCUAAGUGGGUCGCUUCGCGCAAGACAUUGCUUAGGACCAACAGGUCAGACGACAGGUGCACGAUCUACUUUGCAUGUUCCAUACAAGCAGAGGAAAACAUAAAAGGGGAACAGAAAUCAUGAGCCGACGCAUAGACAUAAAAUAAAUAAUUGCUUGUUUAAAAUUUACAUCAAUGUCUCAUCCAAUGAACAACUAAAACAUUAAUUAGUGUAGCAGUAAAGGAUAUACAACCCCAAAAAGCAGAAAAUAAACAUUUACCUCUAUAAUAGCAUUCCGGAUGUCAUUAAGACCUCCAACAUCCUCCCAACCAGACCGACCACCAUCAGCAGCCGGUUUAGUAAUGUCACGCAUUGCCACUGGAACAAACUCAUGCAUGGCAUGCAGGAAAUCAUCCUUAAGUAAAAGAGGUUUUUCCUGUCUUCCAACACCCAAAUCACUAGUAAAAAAGCGGCCAGUUGCAGCAUGAACAGACCUAUCAACCAGUAUUUCCUGAAAUAAAAUGAAACCCAGCAUAAAUGCAAGUGUUCCUCUGGCAGCUAAAGAAAGAAAAUCAGAAACUCCAUCAACUUAUGACCAGAACACAAAUAACAAAGUUUCAUACGAAAAUUAUAUUUUCAACUGACGACUUCAAAGAAAUACAACUUUAGAACAUUAAUCAUCGAGAUAUAUGAUACAACUAAAAAAUGGACAAUAUUAAAGCUUUCUGUUUGGCAGCUACUUUACAGUCUAUGAAGUACAAAUACUUCACCACCCAAGGGGUGUGGUGAAGGUAAAGAUUCCUCCAUCCUUAACACAAUUGUAGGACAUUAAUCAUCUAGAUAUAUGAUACAACUAAGAAAUGGACAAUAUUAAAGUUUUCUGUUCAGCAGCUAUUAUACAGUCUAUGAAAUACAAAUACUUCACUACCAAAGGACGUGAUGAAAUUGUAAAGGUUCCUCCAUCCUUACCAGAGGAGGUCUUGGCAUUGAACCCUGGAAACGGAGUCCCUUUUGGUACGGAGCACUUAAACACCACAUAGUGGCCUUUCUACCGCCGGAUACAGUGGGCUCCCGAUAUGGGAUGGUUAAACCAAAAAUAAAUGUCUAAAUACUUCUUUCUGAUCGCCAUUUUCAAGUUGAAAUGCUCGCCCACAAAACUUUCUACCAGAUGCUUAUUGCUGUUUAGACAGUAGGAUAGAGAGGGGCAAUUGUACCUAUUCUCUAUCGCAGUUGUACUGAUUCUCUAUCCGACAACGAGUAGGAAUAUAAGGAAAAAAACAAAAUGUUCGUACAUGAUAUAACGAAAUAUGAACAUGUGUGGACCAAUUGUUAGACUACUCACAAAAAGGAAAUAGUUCACUGAUCACAUAAUAAUUCAUUCUUGCAUAGCAACCUUUAUAUAUUUUACUGCUUCGGAUAAUACAGAUUCAAUGGGUAAAUUUUCACCAAUUUUAACAGAUUCUUGUUAAAGUAUUUAACAACUUUCCACAAGUAGUUUUAAUCUUAUUUUUCGACUUUGCUAAAGUACAAUUCUAUUAAUUUCUUUUAUUCACUUAAUUUGCUAAAAUCAAUGUAGAUUAUUUACUUUGUCUUUACUUUGGCUAAAAUGUGAGAUGUUUAUUCACAUGUUUUUGUUAAGUCGUCUCCUUUUUAUAACAGUAGGUUUACUCACAACUCGAACAACCUAUGGGGCACCCUGCUACAGCAUACAAGCCAUGUGUCGAAUAAUCCUGCCCACCAUGGUUGGAGCAAAUGGUCCUGUGGCAUCAGCAGUCAGCUGUAAGUUAAGCACCACUAGAUGCAGAUACAUGUGUAGGAAUAUAAUUAGACUCUCUGUACAAGGUGGCCAAUAUAUAGAAUCCUUUGGAAUACUCAAAUAGUCAUCAUCUACAUCUGGCAAAAUGCAGGCUGUGUACUUAUUGAAUGUAUAGCACAGGAGUGCAUUCGAGGAGGUAUAGAAAUUGAACCUUGUUAUUAAUCAUUUACGAAGUGAAGAAAAAGUGAUAAAACCUACUAUAGGGUACUCAUAGUAUGAAAAGCAAGUUACAUCUCAUAAAAACUCUGGUUUGUGGAUGUCUCCUAGAGAAUUCACAGGGUGACUUCUUGAGUUUAAGAAAGAUACAGGUCUGCUUGUUUUCUUUUCUCCCCUUCUCCAAACCCCCCCCCCCCUCCUUUUCCAGUUGUACAGUUCAGUGAAAACAAUCACAUCUAUGCUGCACUUCUUUCUCCAAAAAUAAAAUUAAAAAAUCAUAGACGAUUAUGAAUCUAAAGUACUUUCUGUAGUAAGAGUCAAUUAAGUUUUGCAGAAAGAGUCAGCUACUUCGUGAUCCCCCAAAAUUGAGAUGGAUUUUUUGGGCUCAACCACGUUAAUGGAAUGGUACGUCCUAACUGGUGGUAGCAAAAUGGAUAAAACAAUGGGUUUAACUUUUACAUUUGCAAUGACUCAAAUUGGGGGUUCCACAAGUUUGGGAAACUAGGAGUUCUCCCAAAAAUGAUCAUCUUCAAGAAGCUAUAGAUAAUAUGGAUAUCCAUAUUAUCUGCCAGUUAACCCAUUUUCUAUCCGUAUUAAAUAUCAGUCAGGUUGGAUAUUUUAUCCGUUUUUUGCAUUAUCAGUUUUUGACCCACACAUAUCCGACCCAACCCGACCGUUUGCCACCCCUAGUCCCAACUAAACAAAAGAUAAGCAGUAAAAUGCAUGAUAAUAGUGGGCUCACAAGUUCAUCAUUCUACUCGAGAAAUUUCUUGUUCCAAUUUUUCCUGCACAGACAGAACCUAAGUUGUCUAGUACUAGCCAUCUCUCAAUUAGAUAGCCGCACAUUCCUAAAUAAAGAGGAAGUUGUUUUAUCAAAGGACCAAAUGAAGUGUUCUCUUUGGAAAAAAACUAGCUCCUAGUUCUACUCUGAAGCUCAUUUAUUCCUUGUUGAAGUGUAUGACCAUCUCAUCUAAAAACUUAAAUUGUAAGAGAGAUCACACUUUUAUUUACUUAAUUAUGUCUUCAACACGCUCACUUACGUACGGGCUUGAUUCUUUUUUAUGAGCCUAAGCAUGUGGACAUUCUUUUUUAUAGUUGGUGGCAGUAAGACUCGAACUCACGACUUCUUGUCUGCUCGUAUACUAUGUUGAAGUGUGUGACCAUCUCUUCUAAAAGCUUAAACUGUUAGAGAGAGCAUAUGUUUAUUUAUAUUAUUAUGUCUUCAACAUUCCUUAAAGUUACAGUUGAUGUUAUGUACAUGGUCAGUAUUUUCAAAAGUAAAAUGAGAAUAUCUUUUUAGUUCUCUGUUUGCAGAAGGCAGGAUCGGAAACAGCCUCUUUACUUUCUCAAGGUAGGGGUAAGGUUGCGUAUACACUACUCUCCCCAGACCCCACUUGUGGGAUUACACUGGGUUUGUUGUUGUUGUUGUUUGCAGAAGGCAGGAUGUUUGGAGUUUGAACAUCUAAGAUAAAAUUAACAAUUCUCCUGAACGUAAUGUCACCUGUAAGCGACGUUUAUUUUUCCCAAUAUCAAUCUUAACCAACUUAAUUAAUCAGGGAAAAUAGUUCAGAAGAUAGGUGACACCACAUCAACUGAGUACGCCUUUCAAUUUACUAUUGGGAAACAUUGUACCCAACAACAUUUUGCUUUGGUAGGGACCAUCAGGAAAGAAUGUUGAUGUUUAGCUGGAAGGGAGAGCAGGAAGAGAUAGAUUUACUCAUUCCAGAUCAAGCUAAAAGCUAUUCAUACGCGGCCGAGAUAGCAGCAAGCAUUCAUAUAUAAAAUUGUUUUAGCCAGUUAUUAGCCAAGCUUAGGGCUGAAUUAAGUACCAGAUCAUAUGCAUCAUAUCCAUCGCACUUGGACGCUAUAUCCAGCAAGAUAUCAUCCGAACACUGCAAAGAACGCUUCAGAAUUAUAUGUUUUAGCAAGGCACCACGCUCUGUGGUAGCAGGUGCAUGCAAUUUAACAUGAAAGUCAAAUCUCCCUGACCAUAAUAAAAACCAAACAUUAGGAUUAAGAAUAAAGUAUAGUGGUACUGAAGAUAGAGGAAGACAGUUACUGUCACAAAUAAUAAAACUGAUUUCCCCCUGAAAGAUGAUGGACUAACCAGAAGAGGUCAAGCCCUGUGGUAAAUUAGUCAGAGACUGUGCGCAAGCAAUAAAUGCAAUUGGGCCAAUCCCACACGUGUUCCUCCGCUUUUCCUGUUUAACAUACAGAAACAGCGUUAUCAGUUAAAAGGCUCUGUGAUGAAUCACCCAAGAGUCCAAGACCUCAGAGAAGUUGCAAAUAAUAUUGCAAACCUUGAACGCCCUUGGCUAAGGACACUUACCAUAAUCUUUUUUUUUUUUUGAAAAUGGUAACAGAUAUUCAUCAGCAUUAAGGAAAUGCUGACCACUCUAUUUACAUUUCAAUUAAACAGAGUCUUGUUCAUCUUACAAGAACUACUUAUAAUUCUUUACAGUGAUCCUAGCAAAUCAAGUAAAGAUUCAGCAUCCUCUACAUAAUUUUCUUUGCAACAGGAGUACAACAACAAAAAUACAGUUUGACUUAAUUCUAUGUAUAGGACUGCUGAUAUCUUUAAAACAUCUUGCAUUUCUCUCUGUUCACACAGUCCCCCAUAUGCAAGCAGGGCUAGAUUUCCACCACUUCUUUGCCUUACAUUACCUCCUACAUUGUUCCAGCAUUUCACCGUAUUCUCCAAGCAUGAAAGAGAUUUCUUUUAAUACCGGUAAUGUGAGCUUACUCGCACCUCUACUAUUCCACCGACUAGAAGAGUAUGAAAAUUUCUAGGUUUGUUUAAAUUCAUGAAAAAAUAAUAUGGGAAGGCAGCAAAGUCGCACCUUAGUUAAAAUAGGGAAGGCGCGUGAAUUCCACUGUGUCAGAAUCCUUAGGGGUCGUUUGGUAGAGUGUAUAAGCAUAGAGCAGAAUAGAGUGUAUUAGUAAUGCUGGUAUUAGUUAUGCGGGUAUUAGUUAUGCAUGCAUUAGUUAUGCUGAGAUUAUUUAAUAUCGACUGUUUGGUUUGGUGUAUUAAAAAUUACAUCUUUCCUUGAGUCGAGGGUCUAUCGGAAACAGCCUCUCUACCCUCAAGGCAAGGGUAAGGUAUAUGUACACACUACCCUCCAUAGACCCCACUUAUGAGAUUAUACUAGGUUUGUUAUUGUUAUACAGUUUGUGCAAUUGCUGAUCCAAGACGGUGUGUCCAUGGAGCAAUUGGCCUCACAAGAGAGGAAGAGGAAGAUUCUCGCGAUUGUAGAGAAAUGUACUUUACUUUCUAAAAAAAGAAUUGCUUUUUAGCUUUUUAUUUAUUUAUUAAAUAUGAUAUUUUAAUAGAAGGGAUGAUUAAUUGAAAGAAUUUAAUAUUAGAAAACGGGGUGGAAAAAAAUUAGAAAAAGCAAAUUUGCCAACCUGUAUCUUAUUUACAUUAAUAAAAAAUAGGUAGAAUGAAUUUUAAUCAAGCAUAAAAUUUGAAGGGGCAAUUUUGUCGUUAACUAAGCUUAUGCAUGCAUUAAUAACCUUGGUAUUGCUAAUACCAUGGUUUGCUAUGUAUUAGCUAUACAUAGGAUAAAAUCAAAUAGGGUGUGUAACUAAUGCUUGUAUUAGUUGUACAUAGGUUGAAAAAGUGUACCAAACAAGGUAUUACUAAUACACAAAGCUAAUGCAUGCACUAUUUUUUUCUAAUGCACUCUACCACACGACCUCUUAAUGUUCUCAUCAGUUGUGUUAUUUCUACCUCAUUCAGAAGCAAAUAACCUUCCGUCAUUUUAUGGGAAAGAGAAACUGAGUUAGCGCAGAUCCUAAGACGAGAACAGAAAUCAAGCUGGCCAUGGAGGUUCCAAUAUACAGCUCGUUUAGACUCAAACACCAUUGAACACAAAUCAAGCCUUGGAUAAAUAUUAAAGUAGCUCCUUUAAAGCUCUAACGGCAAGUCUCACCUCAUAUUCAUCAAUAAUAUCAGCAAAGUUUUCUGCAAGCACUGCUGAUGAGGAAGAAGGUUGAGAAGCAUCAGACUCAGAGGAGGCUGCAAUAAUGCUAUCAAGAUCAUCAAAUACCACAACAGAAGGUGCAUGAUCCAACGCAUCAGCAACAUAGCUAAGCAAAGUUUGAUGAAUGGUUGAAGGCUUUUCCAAAGCAAGCUUAGAACAAGAUAAAAAAAUUCUGCAGAAAGAAACAAGAGUCAGAUUACAUCCCUUGGUACAGAAUCACGAAUGUUCAAGCUGAAGCUUCAAAAUGGAGUUAAGAUGAUUUCCAACAGAAAACAAAGGUUUGGUGGGAUUGGCCAAACAAAUCCUUACAUAUGGGCCAAGAUGUCCUCACUUUCUUCAGCGAAUUUAGCAGCUACUGUAGCUAAUAGUGUUUUCCCGGAACCCUAAAAACAGAAGAAAUGUUCAAAUUGGGGUUCAUUCAACAGUUUGCAAUAAUAUUGUAUGAUUCACAUUAGUCAAGGUCAAAAUCAUACUAAAUCAACUAACCUAGAUAAAUAAUAGAGAUAGAGACAUAGAGUUACACUUAUCAACUUACGUCCCACAUAUUACACAGAUUGGAUUUCUACACAAUCAUUCUGUUUAGAUCCAUAAAUUCCAGGACACAUCCUAAAAGAUACCAACAACAACAACAACCCAGUAUAAUCCCACUAGUGGGGUCUGGGGAGGGUAGUGUGUACGCAGACCUUACCCCUACCCUGGGGUAGAGAGGCUGUUUCCGAUAGACCCUCGGCUCCCUCCCUCCAAGAACUCCCCACCUUGCUCUUGGGGUACUCGNNNNNNNNNNNNNNNNNNNNNNNNNNNNNNNNNNNNNNNNNNNNNNNNNNNNNNNNNNNNNNNNNNNNNNNNNNNNNNNNNNNNNNNNNNNNNNNNNNNNNNNNNNNNNNNNNNNNNNNNNNNNNNNNNNNNNNNNNNNNNNNNNNNNNNNNNNNNNNNNNNNNNNNNNNNNNNNNNNNNNNNNNNNNNNNNNNNNNNNNNNNNNNNNNNNNNNNNNNNNNNNNNNNNNNNNNNNNNNNNNNNNNNNNNNNNNNNNNNNNNNNNNNNNNNNNNNNNNNNNNNNNNNNNNNNNNNNNNNNNNNNNNNNNNNNNNNNNNNNNNNNNNNNNNNNNNNNNNNNNNNNNNNNNNNNNNNNNNNNNNNNNNNNNNNNNNNNNNNNNNNNNNNNNNNNNNNNNNNNNNNNNNNNNNNNNNNNNNNNNNNNNNNNNNNNNNNNNNNNNNNNNNNNNNNNNNNNNNNNNNNNNNNNNNNNNNNNNNNNNNNNNNNNNNNNNNNNNNNNNNNNNNNNNNNNNNNNNNNNNNNNNNNNNNNNNNNNNNNNNNNNNNNNNNNNNNNNNNNNNNNNNNNNNNNNNNNNNNNNNNNNNNNNNNNNNNNNNNNNNNNNNNNNNNNNNNNNNNNNNNNNNNNNNNNNNNNNNNNNNNNNNNNNNNNNNNNNNNNNNNNNNNNNNNNNNNNNNNNNNNNNNNNNNNNNNNNNNNNNNNNNNNNNNNNNNNNNNNNNNNNNNNNNNNNNNNNNNNNNNNNNNNNNNNNNNNNNNNNNNNNNNNNNNNNNNNNNNNNNNNNNNNNNNNNNNNNNNNNNNNNNNNNNNNNNNNNNNNNNNNNNNNNNNNNNNNNNNNNNNNNNNNNNNNNNNNNNNNNNNNNNNNNNNNNNNNNNNNNNNNNNNNNNNNNNNNNNNNNNNNNNNNNNNNNNNNNNNNNNNNNNNNNNNNNNNNNNNNNNNNNNNNNNNNNNNNNNNNNNNNNNNNNNNNNNNNNNNNNNNNNNNNNNNNNNNNNNNNNNNNNNNNNNNNNNNNNNNNNNNNNNNNNNNNNNNNNNNNNNNNNNNNNNNNNNNNNNNNNNNNNNNNNNNNNNNNNNNNNNNNNNNNNNNNNNNNAGGAUACCAUUACUAUUAAAGGUAGCUCAGCACCUUGUGACUGUAUGCUUCCUUACCGCACAUCCUUUUUCAUAACUUUUGUAGACAGUGUGCAUCAGCAAGGAUGAUAUACAAACGAUUAUACCUCAAUGAACAGUUGCAAACUACCUUUACAGGACAAAAGAUGCCAUUAAUAACUUUUGCAUUUUGAUACUUGGGCUCAUCCUUUAAGAUUGAAAGGCCAAACAAGGAGUUAAAAGCCUAAUUAACAACCGUAUUCAUGCCAAAAAACAACUAAAUCCAAAUUGGAUGAAUAGACCAAGCUCUCAAGUAGAUUAAAACCCUUUGAUAAAUCAAAUCAGAAGAGACGCAAAUCAUUAUACCAACAGUUUCUUCCCUUCUUUCAGUAAGGCUCGUAAAGUCUUCUACAACAUAUAAACUUGUUUGUCUCUGAAUAAAUGAACCAAGUGUCUAUAUCUAAAACCAAAAUUGAUUUACUAUCACCAUGGUUUCCUCGAAACUGAGUCUCAAAAUUAUAGCAUUUUGUUUCUGGGAAGUAAUAAGAAUUUUAUUCAUCAACUUGGAACGCACUGAGCAAAGAGCGUUGUUACAAAAAGAUAUAUGUAGUUUCUUCUAUGAAGAGUGUGAACAGCAACAACAACAUACCCAAUAUAAUCCCACAUCGUGGAGUCUGGAAAGGGUAGUGCGUACGCAAACCUUACCCCUACCUUGUGGAGAAGAGAGGUUGUUUCCAAUAGACUCUCAGCUCAGGAAAGCAUAAGUACCAUAUUAAUAAAAAGAAAAACAAGAAGGGACAACACCAAAAAGCCAUGUAAAAACAGCAUUAAUAACAACAAGAUGACCCAAAAUGAAAGAAGGGACGGGUAGUCAUAGAAACCUAAUACCAACAGAAUGCGAGAGUACGUACUAAUACUACCGGUAUGAACAAUCUAGACUACCUAACCUACUACCCUAAUCCUCGACCUCCACACCUUCCUAUAAGGGUCAUGUCCUCGGUCAGCUAUAGUUGCGUCAUGUCUUGCUUAAUCACCUCACCCCAAUUCUUCUUCGGCCUACCUCUACCUCCCCUUAGGCCCUCCAAUGUCAACCUCUUGCACCUCCUUAUCGGGGCAUCUGUGCUUCUCCUCCUCACAUGUCCAAAUCAUCUAAGCAUCGCUUCCCGCAUCUUGUCCUCAAUAGGGACCACACCCACCUUGCCCCAAAUAAUUUCAUUCCUAAUCCUAUCUAACAUGGUGUGCCUGCACAUCCAUCUCAACAUUCUCAUCUCUACUACCUUCAUCUUCUAGACAUGAGAGCUCUUGACUGGCCAACACUCAACCCCAUACAACAUAGUCGAUUUGACCACCACUCUGUAGAACUUACAUUUAGGUUUUGGCGGCACCUUCUUGUCACACAAAACACCGGAGUGUAUCUAUGUUGUAUACAUGUGUUGCAACUUCUUCGUGCUCAAAACACCAGUGAUUUUUCCAUUCCAAAUCACCUGUAAAAUACAAGGUGGAAUUUCUCAGUUGUAUGGCUUUAUGUUGUCUUUUCCCAAUCCUUUUCAUCCAGCAUAUAAUAGCUUCCUUUAAGCUGCUUUGCAUCACUAUUUUACAUUGAAAACACCAAGGAACAUCUGCCAUCUCUGAGAUGCUAUGGUCCAACUCUUGCAUCUUUCCAUCUCAUGGAGCCAGAUAUCAGAUAUGAGUGUUUAGACUCAUUCAGCUUCCUCAAGAGAGUGGAAGCCAUUCAAGUUCCUUCCAUCCUAAGAUUCUAGCCUUUUGUGGUUGGUAAUUUUUCUUCCUUUGGUUUUUCUUUUUUUUCUGGCUUCUUCCUAAAUCUAUAAGUUCUCGUCAAAGAAAUAUAAGAAGACAUAAGCAUGAAUUGUCCUCUGAAAUAAGCCAACUCUACUCAUAUAGCACCAAGAUACUUGCACGGUCCCUGCAUUGUGGGCUACUUUAUAUCUAGUAGGCUUCGCAUAUCUAAUGGUCCAAAAAUUGCAGGGACCAAGUUAAUCCGGGACCAUUGGAAGAACGCUCUAGACAAUCAAAGCAAGUCAAACAAUAUGGGAAGUAAGUACAGCUCGUUCUUCUUCCUUUUCACUAGGUUAGUCUUUUUAUUAUGAUGACCUUUCAGUUCUUUUCUUUUCCAUUUGACUUGGAAAGCAUGAAAGGAGAGACAAAUUGCUUAAUAUUUCCUACACUAUUCCAUCUCUCAAGGAAUCAAACAUUACACCAGCAGAGAGAGGGGAAAACACAAAACGAAAAGGACACACCAUAAAGGUAGCUUGUAAAUCAUCCAGUCACUUUCAAGCUUCUCCAGAGAUUUCAACAUCCAAAUAUUCAGCACAUACACACAAAAAGGAACUGGAAAAGGGGAACUCACGGAAGGCCCAUGGAUUAGAAUAUGUCCUGGCAGCGGAAAAUCAUAAGCACUGGACAACAUCCAAGACGCUGAAGAUAACAGAACUAACAACCCUGCAAGUGAUGAUAGCAUUCAGCCAAAGGGAAAAAAAUAGUAUGUAACUGGGGAAAAAAUGAAUAUGCAAGUGAUGAAUUUUUUUUUUAAUCAGUUAAAUACUAUUUUUUUCCCUUGGAAAUUUUCCUCUUUUCCAAGGGGGGAAAAAUAGUACUUAACUGAUUACAAAAAAAAUUCACCAGUCACAAUAUUAGCUUGGCAGACAACAAGAAAUAAAUGCAUGCACAACUCUUUGACAUACUGCAGACUUACAUAACACAAACAUGGUUCACAAUCUUUUCACUUAAAGCUGAAACCUUUCAAGAUCUUCACUGAUGUCAAAUUGUCAAUGGAUUUGAUAACUUAGCACUGGCAGUUCAAAUUGCAGAAAGUAUUACUCCAUCUCUUUACCCACCCACCGCAUCUUGGUUAUUAUUAUGUGGAUUUAUUUCUCCAUCAACUAAUAAGAAUGGGAUUUUGAAAACUGAGAUUGCUAAAAGCCUAAAAGUAUCAGAAAACAAAGAAGUACCAUAAACUGCACUUUGCAUUCUUGUAUUCCUCCAGCAUUUGGCACUUCAUGCUCUCCCAUUUGGAAAAUUUUGCAGCUUAAAUACUUAUUCCAGUACUCAACGACCCAAACCAUCUUUUAUCAUACAUAGUACGUGACAGCCAUCUGCUAAUGUGGAAAUAGUUAGAAAGCUCUCUACCUCUCCAUCUCACAUGAAAGCAACUUUAUCACCAAAGUCCCAACGCCUGGACAGAAGAAAGUGUCUUUCACCACCCCAAAAUUUCUUUUUCCAGGUCAACUAGUGGUAUACACUGCUUCCCUUUCUUCAUAUGCCUACCUCUUUCCUUUCCAAAUUAUUCACGUCAUCAAUCCCUUCAAUACUCUAUUUAUCCCUUCCUUUUUCCCUUUGUGUGCUGUUCCUUACUCUUACACAAACAUACUCUGGCUUAUCAAGCCCUACUUACCUAUAAUAGAAACUUUUUUUCAAUAUGUACUAAGGCGAUUCGGCAUGUUGCAUUUCGGAAAUAAGCAUAACUUUCUCAUACAAUUUUACUAAAAAGUUACUGUUGGAAUAUAUCUUCAUUUACACAGUAAAAGACAAAUAGAUGUCCUUAAAGAAGGGUAGAAAAUUUGCAAUUAUACAGCUCCUAUAAAUCUCAAUGCAUUUAGAGUUCCAUUCAGACAUUUAGAUGAUUUAACACUAAUCAAACGAGGAAAUACCUACUAUUGAUCACAUCAGAUGCAGCCAUUCCCAUCCAGUCUAAUGAAGAAAUUGUAAGACUGGUGCUUUUAGCAAAGCAUUUCUCCCUGACAGUCCUAAUGGAGAGACCAUUGCCCAGUUGAAGCUUUCCAAGCCAAGGUUCUAAGCUUUCGGGAGUAGUAGUUAACUUGCUUCCUUCAUCAAAUGCAACUUCAUAUGCAUCAAUCUUUUCAUCACGUAUUGAUUCAUCAGAAAUUGACAACACAUACACGACAUCUAGUGCUGCUUCUCCACCAUUCAUUGUUUGGACACCAUGUUUUAUGGAUCUGUCAUCUUUCACUUUGAAGUGAAGCAAAGUUGUGUUUCCUAAAAUCAAUGAUUUAACUUCCACUCCAGCCUUCAGCGUGACAGCAUGUAGUUGUGCAAGACACCAUCUGCGCAAAAGAGCUGCAAUGCCCUUUUUGAUAUCAGACUUGACGCUCGUUUCUUUGUCUUCCUUGCUAGAUUCAGAAGAAAAGGCUGUGGCAAUUUUCUCAUGGGUUGACCAGUCAAUAGUACCCAUCUCAAUGUCUGAAUUGGUUCUGAGAAGUGUUGUUAUUAUUUUAUUAUUCUUUUUGUUACCCAAAACUUCAGCAUUAUUUUCUUCAGAAACCCCAUUCUCUGGGAGUAUCUUGAAUUCACAAGGUGAAAGCGAAACUAAAGGAAUCUCUUUCUUCAAUUUGACAUUGAAUCUCUUCACAUAAACACCUGGAAACAAAGUAAUUUUUCAGAGCUACAGUAAGAAAACAAAGGUGAAAUAAUUGCAACCAAACCAAUUUAUUCUUGAUAGAAUCCUGGACAUGAUAGGAGAAACAUUUUAGUCAGGUAACAUGUCCAAUUCUUUUGAGGUUCUUCCGUUGCUUUUCUGACAGGAGGGGUUUUUAAGGAGUGGCUAUUAGCAAGUUGGACAAUUAUCAAUCAAUGAACCAAUGGAAAAUAUGAAUGUGAUGUUCCCUAUUUUUCUGUUUCCAAUGGAAGUUGGAUCAUACUUUUUUUAAUUGCUAUGGAAGUUGGAUCAUACUUAGGUAUGGGUGACAAACCAGAAAAAAUCUUGCAAACAAUAGAAUAGUUCAAAUGGUAUAUGAAAAACAAAUUAAUAAGAAAUGAUAAUAUAAGUAACUUGCUUCCUAAAAUACCAACAAGUCUGAGCCGAAUAAUGAGUAAUAAAUUGAACUGUUAGAUAACACCAGCUUCUCUUGCAAUUGGUGCAUCAAUUUAGUUCUGCAAAGAAAAACCUACAUGAGUGUAACUCCGCUCUCAAAUAAAGCCGAAGAGACUGAGGAAGCAUUAUAUGUCCUUUCGCCACUGAUUCUGAAAAUAUUAGAUGAACCAUUGCUUGAUGGAUAUCGUGCUUGUCACGUGCACCCCCUACUUUCACUUCCUUUGAAGUUGCACUAUUUUUCAAUCUACGGCUAUCUGUCUCCUGAUUCUUCUUGGUCUCUUUGGGAAGCAAUCUGGGAAUUAUUACCACAGUCUGAAGAGGUUCAAAAGAGUAUAUACUGGCUGUCUCUGGAUGAAUGAAGAUAGCAGAGGUCAAAACCACUCUCAUCUCAACUCCAUCAGCCUCGUAUUUAUGAAUACAUUGAUCACCAGUAUCUUGGACUCUCAAUAGUGCCUUUGAGACCGAAAUCUUAUCAUCUUGCAUCAUGGAAUCCUCACCUGAACUAAUAUUUCUUUUUCGCCUUUUUGGAGCAACAGCAACUUCAGUUCCUGGUACAAGUUGUACUGAAAACAACCGGGCAAGUCAGCUUUUCAUGAUUAUGAAGUUCUCAAAAACCAUAUUAAGCAUGUGAAAAGAACAUUAUAUAUGUCCUACUAUUGUUGUGAUCUCAUUUGACACAAACCUGAGUUUUUAUUUUUUUUUUAAACAAACCUGACGCUAAAAGGGAGAGGGGCUAAAGGUAAAAACUCUAGCAAGCAUACUGCAAAUAUGCAACAUAUAUCAAAUUGUUAUAUAUCAUUAUCUUCUUUCCCUCCUUGUAGAAGGAUUGAUAUUUGAUUAAAUGAGCAAAUAGAAGCCUUGAUAUAAAACAAAUGGUACUUGAUUAAAUGAAAAUAAGAAGCCUUAAUCCAUAGUGCCUCAGGGCUUUGGUCUAGUGGUGAGAGAGCAACUUGUGAUGUAUGAGUUAGGUGCAUGUCACGUGUUCAAACCCUACUAUAGACAAAAACCUAGUAGAGGGGCAAGCACAUUAUCCACCGAGUUUUGAAAUGUGCUCCACUAGCCUUGAGGAUUUAUCGGUUAUUUUUAGAAGAAAAAAAAAUGCCUUAAUCCAUGGUAUUAGUAAAUGAAAGGCCCCGGUAACAGAUACCAGCAAUUAUCUUCUCUUUCUAGUAUGUAAUACAAAGAUACAGGCAACAUUGUCAGAGAAUACAUGAUUGAAAGUAGUCAUUAAGCUCCAAAACAUGCAUCUUCCUCAGAAACUUUAUAUUCCAGUAAUGGGGAAGCUUUCAAGUUUAGCAACCAAGUUCUUAUCAAAAAAUAGAGCAUGAUAGGCAAUAAAUCACAUACAUCAACCAAGGAAUUAACAUCCUCUUACCUACCGGUGUCAGCGGAAAGAUUGAAAAAACUUUGAAUGUGAUAAUUGUUUGCCCAUGCAGCCACAAAGGAAAUCGCAUUGCGUCAUGGACAAUACCAACCUGCAUAAAAUACACAAUGGUUGAGUAUUGGUCAACUUCAAGAAAACAUUAUCAUUCCCAAGGCUUCGAGUUAAAUAUUGUGUUUGACUUUACACUGUUCUUGAAAGAAAAUUAUAGACAGAAUAGUAUACUAACUUGAACAUGGAUUACCUUCCAAGAAGUGGGUUUAUAGGCCAGGUGAUAGAUUAUCUUUUCUGAUUUAACUAGGGGAGUGAACUGAAAGUACGGAACCAGGAAAAACUUUAGAAUGGGUAUAAUAGGUGGUAAUAUGGUCUAAAUGAUCAAACUGGAUACAAAUUUGGCACGACCCAGAUGAGAAAUGUGGAAUUUAGGGUGAAACGCAAAGAGUAUGUUAUGACACAAGUUCAGUAGGUCUUUUGAUAUGUUUACAAAAUUAAAACGAGUAUCUUCCCCCUUUUUCUCCGGGAAUGGGAUUAAUCUUGUUGCUUUUUAAAUAACUGUGCAGCUCUGGCCAACUUGCUCACCUCAACUACUCCAGGUAGUAACUACAACUCCAAUCAACACAAGUACUACGUUUGUGUUAACAAACAGUCAAUUCUAGAGGGUAAGAAGGAUCUGAAACAAUCUCAAGCAUUCCCUCCUACAAGUAACAUUAAAGAUGCUCAUGCUUAUUCUAAAUAAAACUUUUAGUACUUUCUAGCUGGACUUUGAGCAAUAAACCAAAACCCAAGAGCAAAGAGAAAGGAUGACAGACAGCAACCAAGGUAUGAUUCUUUUUUCGCAGGUAACACAGGGUUGAGCUAAGAAUCACAUCAUCAAAACAGGUCGAUCUUUCAUAAAUUUGUUUUAAGCUAGUUAGAAAUGAAAGGCAUAAUUUGCCUAAUGCUAACCAAAACCCAUAAGCGUCUCUUAUCCUUUGCCCAUUUCUAAGAGAAAUGCCCAUAGUUCACAGCAUUAAUUCAAUUGAAUCCUUCUUAAAAACUGUAUGAAUCGAGGUUUAUUAUUGUAUCAGCCAAAAACAAAUACGUAAAUCUGCCACCCUAAAGCAAGAAAGCAGCGGAGCAACAUGGAGAAAGUAUACAAAUUAACAUAUCACUGUGCAGCUACACCUCUCCGCCUGCCCCAACAACAAAUCCCAUUAGUGGUGGUUAUGCCCUCUGUAAUUGUCAUUUCUUUUUUAACUUUUAUUUAGGGGAACAAGCAGUUUGCUAGAAAACAACCUGGCUUAAACACUAAUGUCAUUUGUCUUAUGCAUCGCAUCAUUAUGAAAUUUUAAUAUCACGAUUAAGGUGAUCGAUAAGGUUCACAAAAAAGAUCAUAUCCUGGUAGUUUCUUAUCCAUCCCAUUUAAAGUUUAACCUUUUAUAAGCAAAAGCUACAGGAAAACCUGUAAAUACUAAAACAUAUGAUACACAAGAACGAGGAAGAACUUUUCUUUGCUAAAAACCACUAGGUGAUUUCUUCCAUCUGCCCAAGACUUGGUAGACAAAGUAUCUGGUCUACCAAAGAAUUAGUCAAGGUACGCACAAGCUGGCCCGGGCACCACGGUUAUUAAAAAAAACCAACGAGGAAAAACUGUAUACAAGUGAAACAACACAUUCUCAAUCAAUAACACAUAGUAAUUAUAAGCACCUGCUUUAAAAUAGCCUGCUCGGCAUGCUCAGCAUUAAGUUCCAAAACUUCCCAAUCAUCUUCAGUAUCCGGCUCUAUGGUAACCAUAGUAGCUUUAGACAAAUUAGAUAGUGCUAUUACUCGAACCACCGUACGAUCCGACAAUCCAAUACACUCGGCAUAUUGCUUUGCAAUCUUCAUCCACACAACAAACAACAUAAAUUACACAAAACUAAAAGAAAAAUUGAACAUUUUCAGUUAGGAGUUAAAUUCGUUAGGAAAAAUUGAGAAGUUGAGGUGUGUGAACCUGAAUAGAAUUAGGAAAGGGAUGGGAAGAAGCGGCACCGGACCAAGCUACACGCCAGAGUUGGUUAGCGUUUUGAGGAGAGCGAAGUUCGAGGGCUAGAAUGGGAGGAAGGUAGCCGGAAGCGGUGGUGGACUCGAGAGUCUGAAUUAAGCUCACUGGUAACGAUACGAAACAGGUCUCGAUUCCUCCGACGACUCUCACCUCCAACUCCAUCUUUUUGCGAGUGCGAUAUCUGAUGUUUGGAAUGUGAGAAGAAUGGUUUUUAGGAUGAGGUAGAGNNNNNNNNNNNNNNNNNNNNNNNNNUACACAUUUAAAUUUUGCGAAUGACCCUAACUUUUAAGUGUAUCUCACACAACUGGCAUUAAUUAUGUGAGGCCUUUUAUCUCAUAAAUUUGUGAACUUAUAUUAGGAUUGUAUGAGGGAAGAGUAUUACCUGAAUCGGUACCGAUACAAUACCGCAUUGUACCGGUACAAAUUGGGGAUAGGGUAAGGGCACUGGGAGGGUACCGAUAUAAUUGGUCGGUUCGGUACCUAAAAUUGGUCGGCUUGGUACCCUUUAGGUACCGAAUCGAUACCCUUAAGGUUUUUUUUUUAAAUGAAGUUAUUUUUGUAUUGUUAGCCAUCGAUUAUUUUUUAAAAAAUAGCUAUUGGCAAUGGCCUAAAACGGCUAUUUUUGCCUCCCAAACCCCCUAACAACCCCCUACCCCCUAAAUUUAUAUUUUCUAAUCUCUAAGUUGUUCAAAUACACUUUGGCCCUGUUUUAGAACUAUAAAUAUUUCAUUUCAUUCUUUCAAUUUUUAAACAAAACUCUCAUAUCUCUCUAAUUAUCUAUCUCUCUCUAUCUCUAAUUGUAAUUAAUGUUCUAGCACUAUUAUUAAGUUUCGCAUUUAUUUUUGUUAUACUUGUGUUGCUAUUUAUUGUAAAUUUAAUUAUUUAUUAUUAAAAAUAGCUCCUAAACUGGUAAAAAAGUAUGUAAUAAAUUGAUUAAGGAUAAUGCUAAGAAGGGGGGCCUCAUUUUGAAACAAAUCCUAACUAUUCUGGGUUUAGGCGUUACACACGAGCAACGUAUAAUCCUGCUUUUUAAGCUUUUCCUAGAACAACUAUUAGAACUAAUAUUUGCAAUGAUGAAGGAAAUGAAUACUUGCUGAAAUAUUGGACGAGAAGAAAUUCUGACCUUCUAGAAAUAAUUCUAGAAGACAACGAUGUCUAUAGUGAAAUACUAUCUACCGGAGACAGCGGGGACGCAAAAAAAUAAGUGCUAUCAAUUUCAAGAGAAAAACCAAUAAAAGCUAUUGAAAAAUUCCAUAAAUCGUUCAAAAAAUAUGUAAUUUUAUUUUUAUAAGUAUUAAAAUAAAAAUACUAAAUUUGUUUCAUCUAUUAAAGUUUAUUUGUAUUUAAAUAUAAUAUUUUUAAAAAUUUUAAUCUAGAAAUGCCCCUAAGUACUUGUACCGCCCCCUUAAGUAUCCCCUCCUUAGGACUGGUAGGGGUACUAGUAAGGUACCUAUAAAAGUACCCUUACCUCAUACCCUUAAAUUUCCUUAACAAUAAUCUUCUUAAGGUACCCCUCCCCCUACUAAUGAUACCCUCCCCGUACCCAGUCCUCUUAAGAGCCCAGUAUCCUCCCCUUAUAUUUUUGGGUCCACAAAAUUCUAAGUCCAUAAAAUUAUGAGGAAAAAAAAGGUCUCACACAACUAGUGUCAGUUGUGUGAGGUACAAAAUAAAAAAAUUAGUGGUGCUAGUACUCGAGAGGAAAGAAAUAUGGGAGAUGAAUUGAGAAAAGAGCGAAAAAAGAAAAGAAAAUUUAACAAUAUUAUAUAAAACAUUAAUUAAAGCCAUAAUAUAAGAUUAAAAUAAUAAACUAAUAUGUUUUUAACCCAAAUUGGUCACAAAUUACUAAAAGUAGUAAACUACAAUGGCUAUAGCUCAAAAAACUAUAAAACUUGCCCUAAAAAGUGUUUUCCGUCUAUUUAUAGUGGCCCAAAAUUCACUGACAAAAAUGCCCUUCGAUUUUAGCGGCCACACAAUUCCAAUGUGCGGUCUGCCGUUUACUUGGUUUUGCACGUUGGGGAAUUCUGCAGCCGCACAAUUUGGUUUGCGGCUGUACUUCAGCUUCUACGACCGCACUUUUCCUUCUGCGGCUGCACUUUUGGCAAGGCUUCAUUAUUGGUCAUUUUGCACACUCUCUGAACUUUUUGAAUUCCUGUCAGUACGAUCAUAUUUUACGGCCGCACAAUUUGUGUGCGGUCCGCAUUUUGUUUCAAUCAUCAUCUGAGUUUCAACCCCACAUUUGCGGUUGCAGAGAGAAUUUUAUGGUUCAUGCUUUCUUCUGCGGGUGCAGAAUUACUUCUGCGGACCGCACUUUUGGCCUGUUGCGCUCCUUCUUUCCUUAUGAGCAGGAACGCUCCUUUUUGAGUUAGAUUUCUUCAUUGAAGUCAAAUUCUCCAACAUUACUACAAUUUGCACAAUUUUAUUAGUUUUGGGGACAGAAAUUAACACUUUCGGACUAAAACUAAAGCAAGAGGGUACUAAUAAGUAGUUAAAAUUCACACUUAUCAACUUUCCCAAAUUUAAGUCUUUACUUGUCCUCAAGCAAAUAGAUUAGUUCCCACAUCCUCAAAGUGAAAGGUCAUUUCAGAGAGUCAAUGCUAAGUUAUUCAUACUCACUUGUGACCAACAAUUAUCCUAAUACUCAUGCAUUUUCAACAAGGUGACAAAUCACAUAUUAUGCACAUAUAGUUCUAAUGUGACACUUGAGCAACACGAAUUGACUUUCCUCAUCAAGGACUCUUGUUCUAUCAUUUAGAUCACGGUGGACUUCAAACUCUUCCUCCUUUACCUUUUAUUUGCCUGCUCACUUCAAGAGUUAGCACUCAAUUUUUAGAUCAAUGAAAGGUUCACUCUUCUCUCACAAAAGAAUGUCACAAGUAAGACUUCAAGUACCAUAUGCUUGCCCUUCAUGUAGAUCACCACUAAUGUAUGCUUACUCGGUUCAAAAUCAAGUAGGACUUCUUUCGGGUUAUAAUGAAGGCUUUUGGAUUGGGGUAGGCUACCAUAUGGGUAAGUGGUUACACUCUUCCGUAAGCACUCCAUAUUUUUAUUUCUUGGCUCACAUUUACCAACUAUUAGAAGCAUUUUCUUUUUCUUGGGGGCUAGAGAAAAUUGACAUCACUCUUUCUUGUUCAAUUCUUUUCUUUUCUCCCUUGAUGCUCAUACCAGAUAUAGUUGCAUCUUUUUUAUUUCAUCAACCCUCAUUUUUAUUCUCUUUUUGGCAUUUUCUUUUUGUUCUUUUUCUUUUCUUGCGUUCUCUUUUUAUAAAAAUUAUUUCUUUCCUCCUUUGGGUGCCUUGAUACCUCUUUCAAAUUUCCUCACCCCCCCUCCCCUGCAAACUUAUGCCUUACGCCAUUUAUUUCAUAAGAGUUUUAAGGAAGGUGCGGGUGUCAAGAGAGGAUUAGGACAAAACGGGUAAAGGCUUAUAGUAUAGUUACCAAAUGAGAAAGGCUAAAGGCUCAAAGGGGGUUAACUAGGGAUAACAAUAUUGGUUGGCAAUAAAAGCUCAAACGGACCAAGGAAAGCCUAUAAUCAUCUCCCAAACCAAGGAAACUUAGGAUUUCUCCAUUCAGAAAAAGUUCUAGACUAUUUGCACGGAUACUUGGACUAGCAACGAAAAAUCACCUAACCCCUCAUGCAACUAGACUGUAAAAGAGGAUAGAGUCGAGAGCCUAUAACAACCACAAUCAAGUUAAAGAUUACUAUGGUCCAAUAAACCACUCAAUGAUUAUCAUAGUCAACUCAAGAGUCUCAAAGUCACUAAUUAGAGCUAUUUUCUUUCAAAAAUCUUAUUUCGAACCAUAAGCAUGUAGUUAAGUGUGUUGGUGCCAAAUGAAGCAUGAAUGACUCUUUUUAGAGAAUUACUUCAUUAGUACUUUUCUUCAUUAAUAUUACUAUAAUUAUUACUUGAACACAAAAACAGACUCAUUUUCCUUAAGAAGGUUGUCACAUCAUCCAUCCCGGGAAGAGUCACCCGGUUCACACAAAACUACCUUUGGAAAGAAUCGAGGCAUUAAGAAAACCAAAGGCUUAUUAUCUAUACUAUUACAAAAAACAUGAACGCUACUAACAUAAAAAGAAGCUACUAACAAAACAAAAAUCAAAGUAAGCAAUUAAAGAAACUAAUGAAAGCAAUAACUAACUAAAGAUAGAUAACUAAAAAUAAGAAAAGAAAUAGAAUUAUCCAAUUAUUACAGUCCAAAUGAAUCCACAUGUGCCAAUCAAAUAACCCCCCCCCCCCCUCUCCGAAAUAAAAGUAAGCAUUGUCUCCAAUGCUUAACAAAAUAAGAGUGAAAAGAGAGAGGGCGAAAAAACUCCCUAAGCAUCCUUGGAAAUCUUAGUGUCCCCAGCAACAUCAACUCUCGUUGGCUCAAACAACUGUAUCUCAUCAUCGUAUAUGGGAGUGUCGAGAGUAUCAAACAUCGCACGCACUGCGUCAGCAGUGCCGGCAGCAAGGCAUGGCUCAUCAGAAUGGCCAGCUGGUACAACCGGUGCAGAUGGAUCUGGGGCAGACUGGUCUGGGUCAAGCAACAUGUCAAAUGGUAGAUCACUAGCUGUCGCAAGUCGAUUCACCUCCUUCCUAAGCUUAUCAACUGACUUCUUGCUGGCCUGGUACUUUCUCAACUUCUUCACUUAUUUGGUCAAGUCCUCAAUAACUGACCCAUGUUGUACCAGAAUGUCCAUGAUCAGCUUUUGGUUUUACAGAAUCUUUCGCAGCUUCUCAUCAAGGUCGGUAAAAACCUGUGGUGCCUAUAUGGAUGACUCCCCUGCAACAGUACUAGAUAUCCCAAACAACUUUGAAGUAGCUGUCUGCAUCCAGUUAUUAAGAUUUUCCAAUGUCUAAGAGACUCGCAGAGUAGAUAGUGGGGUUGUAGGCAUGGGCCCCGACCUCAGAACUGGAAUAGGGGCUGCCUUGGGGGUUGUGGUAAGAGUUGUGGAUGGAGUUGAGGAUGGUGGCAGAGGCAUAUCAGCUGCACUAGAAGAGGGUUGAGUUGAUGUAGAUGGAAUAUUAGCUGGGUCAGAAACUAUCAUUGUCGGCUCAUCAGACUAGCCUGUAGUGGCAGAAGGCUGAGCUCUCUUCUUUGGGUUGGUCGGAUCCUGUAGCGAGUACCACUCAAAUGGCUUCUUCGGCUUCAACUUUAUAUCAAAUGUUCCUGGCUCUACCUUUACAUCAGUGAGGUACUCUGUCAUAGUGCUGGGAUAGGGAUAAGCCGUGUUAGUCUGUUGCGCUGCCAAUGUGAUGUUGGCCAACAUCACGACACCCAUAUUGAUUGGGUACCAGGACAUUAUAGAAGCCAUUGGGGAAUACGCAAGAUGUUCUCAUUCUGGCUCGGGUCAAGCCUGAUACACACAAAUGUCUGCCAACCUUUUGCCUAAAAGCUCAGUGUGUUCCGAUGAAUGAAAACCCCAGCAGUGAUCCAUAGUGGAGGUGGUCCCGACGGUGCUAAGAUCUCAGCAAGCCACGGCCGGACUUCUUCUUUCAAAGCCAACUUCUCGAGGUACUCUUUUGGCUCUAAGUCCUCAAAAUCCAAGUAUGCGUUCAGUGUGUUUUGAUCAAAUCUCACCUCGAGGUUGCAUAUUUUGGUCACAUUUGUCCCCUUGCGGAUGUGUGAAAUGUUGGCAUAGAACUUGCGGACAAGGUGCUCCUUGGAAUCUACAACUCUCUUAGUGAACAACAUCCACCCUUUCCUCGAUUUGAACUGGCUCAACACUGCAGGGUUGUAUCUAUCUAGAUCCUUCAACAGAAAUUUCCUCUAAUGCGUCAAUGAUCUCGUUGGCCACCACAUCCAGAAAUCAGUGAAAGCAGCCAAACUAACAAUUUUGUCUUCCCAUAUUUCCUUCUUCUUUGACCUCUCAACACCUGUGGAUGUACCCUCUCCCCCUCUACCAUCAUCAGGGGCAUCCUGAACAUUCUGCGCAUCUGACUCUGGAACAGAUGCUGGCUCAGAAGCCUGGCUAGCACUUUCUGAACCCUCGGAAGUGCUAUGAGAGGAUGAAGCAACAUCCAUGGGAUCAGAUUGCCCAUGUGCCCCGGACUGUGCAACUCCCUGCUCCUCCGGAAUAGACACGGAGUUUCCCUCAGAAGCUUCCCUAGAUGGGACAUAAGUGUCACACCCCAAAACUGAGGAGCACGACCGGNNNNNNNNNNNNNNNNNNAAUACCGAUUUCUUACCAUUAGUUACUUCAUUGUAAGGUCUCAAUUUCACACAUAUUUUUUCAUAAUCUGAAAUAGAAAUAGUAAUUCAAACACAACAUAACGAGUUUGACUUCCCCAGUACUAAUAUACAACCCACACUAUGUCUAUAGAGCCUCUAUAGAUAAAGAAGAGUACAAUGAUAAUGCCGGCAACAAAGCCUCGGCUAUACUUCAAAUAGAAUACACAAAGAACAAAAGAUACAUGACCCCCAAGAUUAAGUGGGGCUCACCAAGUGAGCUGGGAAGAAGGGUACUGAUAUCACUGAUCAAUAUCUAGUAUGUAUAACUAAGCACUCUCUCAAUAGAAUGAAUAAUAUUACAAGGAUACAUAAUCAUAAAAUCAAUGAAGCCUCGAACAAUACCAAAACAUCACGUUUCACGUAAAUUCCCAUAUUUUUAGAUUGUAGAUUCUUAGCACCUAUAUACCAUUAUUCACAAUACCAAUACCACCGUACUCCUUGCAGGGAGUCUGAUCACGAUCCGAUCGGCUAGGCUAUCUCAUUAGAGACAUCAACCACAAUCAUUCUCAAUACCAAUACCUCCGUACCUUUAAUACGGAGUCCGAUCACGACCCGAUCGGCUAGGCUAUCUCAUUAGUGACAUCGAUCACAAUCAUAAUUUCAAUAUAAUUUCCAGCACAAUCACCACCAUGUAUGCGACAUGGUGUCUGAUCACGACCCGAUCGGAUAGGCUGUCUUAUUCGAGACAUCAAACUUUUUAUAUCAAUCAUCACAUUUCAUACUUCUUUCACCUCUUUUUAUUUCAUUGGCACUAGUGGCCACAAUUAUAAAAUCAUUCUUGGUAUGUUGGCCGUAUUUAAUAUUUCCUUCUCACCCUUUUCAAUUUCAAACAUCAUCAUCAUCAUCAACAAUAAAUACAAUUCAAUUCAAGUUUUGUAGUACACAUGUGAGCAAUUAAGAGUCUUAGGCACAUAUAGAUAUUUCACAGAAUUUGGCAUAAUAGCCUUCGUUUGAACUUGACUUGAAGUCGAAACAUUAUUAAUGUACAACCCAUAUUUUGAACACACCCUCAAUUGAUAAUAUAACAUGAAUAAAAUAUUUGGGAUAGUCAUUGAACAUAUAUCUUUUAACACAAACUUUCUUGGAAUAGCUAAUUUAUAAUAAACCACUCGAGUCUUACAUAAAUUAUAUAAUAUCAUGGGAUUCAAUUCUAAGAGAAGAGUUUAGCCAACAUACCUCAAUUGAGCUUCCUUAAACUCUAAAAUGUUCCGAAAAUCUUAGCAACUUCGAUCUAUUUUAGAAAUGUAACAAAUUGAACCAAAAUUAGGAAGAUGGUCAUGGUUCUAGCUUAUUUGAGCAUUUUAUCAAACACUAGGUGUGCAUAAGGUUUCAAGGUCCUUUUAUGGAGGAUUCCAUCAUCCCAUAACCUAUUCUUUACCAUGCUUACUCCAACAAUCUCCCUACACCCUUUGAUGACACAUGUAUGUAAAAUAAACAACUCUCAUGCCCAAAACUAUCUUGCUAAUUAUCCAGGUUUUAGAUAAAUUUCGAAAUUAAGGGCUAGGGUGUAGAAUCUUACCUCUAGGACGAAGACCUUGUGGGUUUUCCUUCUUAAUCUUCCAAGAUUUGAGCAAGAAUUGAAGAAUAAUUAUUGUGGAACACCUUCUCACUCCAGGACACUCUCUCACUCUAAUAAUGUCAGAUUUUUGGUCAAUGGCCCAUUGCGUCUAUUUAAUGAAGUAGGGUCGAAUUGUAAAAACCCAAAAAUGGAGCUCCGGAAUAGGGUCUGCGGUUGUAUAUGCGACCGCAUAAUACUUAUGCGGUCCGCAUAAUGGACCGCGAAAUGGCCCUCUAUAACUGGGCUGGUCUGCCCCACUAUGCGAUGCGUUAUACAGUCCGCAGACCUGUUAUGUGGUCGCAUAAUGUGCCACAACCUCCCUCCGCAAAAUUCUAAGGCUGAUUAUGCGAUCAAAGUGCGGCCCGUAAAAUGGUUAUGCGGUCGCAUAAUUGGCCACAAAAUUGACAAUAAAAUUGGCCCAAAUAGUUGCCUCACUUUGCGGCCAUUAUGUGGUUCGCAGAGUGAUUCUGCGGCCACCUAGUGGGCCGCAGAAGUGCAUUUCUUCUGCCCAAUUUUUUUUUUUACUUUCUGGUGCAUUGUUUAACCCAAAAAGUCACGUAAAAAUCGAUUCGACACCACGAAAUAUUAUUUUUUUUUGCAAAAUUUUAUGAGGCCUUAUUAUAAGAUCUAGACUCAAAGAGGUUUGUACCCCUCACUCUAGCUGUUGUGGACUUCUUCUUGAUGGUUUUGGGAAUAAUGAGGGGAAAGGUACCUCUUCCUUGACCCCUAGAAGAGUCGCCUCUACCUUUUGCAGUUUCGCCGCGGCCUCGUAAUCGAACCAUGUCUAUAUCAAAAUAAAGAGGAUUAUUAGUUGUAAGCCAUCAUUCAACACUGUCAAGAUUCAUGUAGGCAAGAGAGAAUAUUAUGGACACAGUAGGGUUAAUAUAGGUUAAUAUGUAACAGGAAAAUGGGAACUGCGGUCCGCACAUUUUUUAUGUGCGGCUGCAGAAAGGGAGUGCAGACCGCACAAUUUCAAGUACGAUUGUGCUUCUGACAAAAACAUUUGGAGGCUCAGGUGCCUCUUCUCUGAAGACAGUGCGAUGGCCUUUCUACGGCCGUAAAAUUCAUCUGCGGUCCAUCGACUUUAAAGUGUGGUCCGCACAUUUAUUUUCUCAAGAGUUAGAUCUAUGAUAGACAAUGCAGGCCUAAGUGCGGCCUCUCUCAGAAUUCUGUAGUCUGCACAAUUAAAGUACGACCGCAGAAGCACUCACCUUCACCAGUUGCCCAAAAUAACUAAAUUGCGGACCACACAAAUUCAAGUGUGGCCGAGAUUUCAAUUUUUCACGAAUAGUAGUCUUUUUCACUUAGAUUUUGCAAUUACUUGUACAAAUCAGUAUAACAACAUGGUAUACACAUCAAAUCUAACUAACCCAACCUAUUUGAGCAUGUAUUGACAUCUACCCAAUACAUAUCUACCCCACAUGGACACAUGAAUGAGCUCUAAUAACAGAUGGCCUAAAAAGAAACUAAAAUUUAAAAAAUUAAACUAAUACAAAGAUUAACAAGAAGUGAAGCAUACCAGAUAGAGUGAGUACACUAGGUGUGUAAGCACAUGUAUGUGUGUGUGGUGGACAGUGAAAAUCUCUGAGUAGAACUUGCAGAGCAACAGUGAUUGUGAGGAGGGCAAAAAGUGUAAAAUGAAAUCAAAUAUACUUAGGGUUAUUGAGGUGGAAAACAACCGAGUGCGGUCCGCACUCUUUCACCUGGGCCUGAAGUCUCUAUUCCUCAUGUGCGGUUCGCACAUUUUUUAGUGUGGCCAUAGAAUUCUUCAUGCGGUCGCAAAUUAGCCCCGCACUGAUAGCCUCAAACUUCAGAGAGUUUGCAUUUUGACACUUUGGCAAGCUUCCAAUUGUGCGGUCCGCAUGUGAAAUAAGUGGCCGCACAAGCACUUCUGUUGUGGCAUACAAAUUCUACGGUCCGCAGUUCCUUCAACACUUAGCCAUUUUCGGUUCACCCUUCUUGCAUGUAACACUCAAUCCUAUAUCAUAUCUAACUACAAAAGAAAAAGGAAAAGAACAUGGGUUGCCUACCAAGAAGUACCUGAUUUAACAUCGUGGCACGACGCAAUGUCGAAGCACCUCAAGUGAAGUAAAUGACCUUCACUACGUGGAUAUCUCUAACCUUGCCCUAGUAGUGCUUCACCCGGCGACCAUUGACUCAGAAUACUUCAUUGUUCUUGUUCUUCAAGUCUAAUGCACCGAAAUGUGUCAUACCAACAAUUUUAAACGGACCAUUCCACUUGGAUUUUUGCUUCCCGAGAAAUAUCCCCUACCUUGAGUUAAAAUACAAGAUCACCCACCUUGAACUCUUUGUUCCAAAUGUAUUUGUCAUGAAAGUAUUUCAUCUUGUCUUUGUACAAGGACGAACUCACAUAUGCAUGGUACCAGAACUCAUCCAAUCUAUUCAAGUGUGCUACCCGCAAGUUAGCGGCUGCAUCCCAAUCAAGAUUCAAUUUCUUUAAAGCCCACAUUUCCAUGUGCUAUAGUUCCACCGGAAGAUGACAAGCUUUCCCGAACACUAACCGGUAUAGAGAUAUUCCAAUAUGUGUUUUGUAAGCCAUCCGAUAAGUCCAUAACGCAUCAUCAAGCUUCUUGGACCAAUCUGGCCGAUUAACAUUCACUGUUUUAGAUAAGAUACUCUUUAUCUCUCGGUUGGAGAAUUCCACUUGCCCACUAGCUUGUGGAUGAUAGGGAGUCAUGACCUUGUGAUUAACACCAUACUUGCUAAGUAAAGUGUCAAAAGCUUUGUUUCAAAAGUGUGAUCCCCAUCGCUUAUGAUUGCAUAUGGAGUACCAAAUCUUGUAAAAAUAUUCUUCUUCAAGAAAUCCACUAUACUUCUCGCCUCAUUGUUGAGUAAGGAGAUGGCCUUAACCCAUUUGGACACAUAAUCCACCGCGACAAAAAUUUAAGUGUUCCUAUAAGAAAUCAUAAAAGGGCCCAUAAAGUCAAUACCCCAAACAUCGAAAAUGUCAAUCUCCAAGAUGGUUGUGAGAGGCAUUUUAUUUUUAUUUGAGAUUACACCGACUCGUUGACAUUCAUCAAAUCUUUUCACUAAAUCACUUGCAUUCUUGUAAAGAGUGGGCCAAUAGAAACCACAACUAAGAGCUUUGACCGUCGUUCUUUCUCCACCAUGAUGACGACCAUAUGGUGAAGAAUGACAAGACCCAAGAAUAUCGCCUUGCUCUUUUUCCGGUAUAAACUUUCUAAUCACCCCAUUCGUACAAAUCUGAAAAAUGUAUGGUUCACCCCAAUAAUAAUCUUGACAAUCUCUCUUGAGCUUCUUCCUUUGGUUUGAAGAUAACUCAUUCGAAAUGAUUUCACUCACAAGAAAAUUUGCGAAGUCCGCAAACCAUGGCACCUAUUUCAUUGAAAUUGCCAAAAGUUGCUCAUCGGGAAAGGAAUCAUUGAUUUCAAGACCAUCAUGCGGCCUCCCCUCCUCUUCCAAACGAGACAAGUGGUCUGCCACUUGGUUUUCAAUACCUUUCCUAUCUUGGAUAUCAAUAUCAAAUUCUUGAAACAAGAGUACCUAACUCAUCAACCAGCCAUUGGAAUCCUUUUUGCUCAUAAGAUAAUAAAGUACCGCAUGAUCCGUGUGGACAAUAACUUUGGCACCCAUUAAGUGCGGGCAGAACUUCUCAAUUGCAAACACAAUAGCAAUGAGUUCUUUCUCCGUAAUGGUAUAAUUGACUUAGGCACUAUUCAUUGUCUUACUAGCAUAGUAGACCGGAUGGAAAAUUUUGUUGAUAUAUUGCCCCAAAACAGCCCCAACUGCUACAUCACUUGCAUCACACAUGAGUUCAAAAGGCAAACUCUAAUUUGGAGCGGCAAUGAUAAGAGUAGUUGUCAACUUGAGCUUCAAUAGUUUAAAAGCCCUCAUGCAAUCAUCAUUGAAAUUGAACUGGCAUCCUUCUCAAGGAGCUUACACAGAAGGUUCACCACUUUAGAGAAAUCUUUGAUAAAGCGCCGGUAGAAACCCGCAUGGCCUAGGAAACUCCGCACACCCUUCACCGAAGUUGGGGGGUGGAAGCUUAGAAAUCACCUCAACCUUUGCCUUGUAAACUUCAAUUCCUUCCCUUGAGAUUUUAUGGCAAGGACAAUACCUUCCUUAACCGUGAAAUGACAUUUCUCCCAAUGGAGCCCCAAGUUGGUCUCUUCACAUCUAGCCAACACUUUAUAUAAAUUUGCAAGACAAUCAUCAAAAUAAUCCCCAACCACUGAGAAGCCAUCCAUGAAAACUUCAAGAGUCUUUUGCCGUGAAAAUAGCCAUCAUACACUGUUGAAAAGUCACCGGUGCAUUGCACAAACCAAAUUGUAUUCUCUUGAAAGAUAAAGUACCACAGGGACAUGUAAUGAUUAUUUUCUCUUGAUCUUCCGGAGCAAUGAGAGUUUGUUGUAUCCCGAGUACACAUCAAGAAAAUAAUAGAAAGCACGCCUGGCUAAUCUAUCGAGCAUUUGAUCUAAGAAAGGAAGUGAAAAGUGAUCCUUCUUUGUAGCUUUGUUAAGCUUGCGAUAAUCCAUACAAACCCUCCAACCGGUCAUGAUUAUUGUAGGAAUCAACUCAUUCUUAUAACCACCGUCAUGCCCCCUUCUUUUGGACACAUUGAAUCGGAGAGGUCCAUGAACUAUCAGAGAUGGGGUAGACAACCUCGACAUCCAACCCCUUGAUAAUCUCCUUCUUGGAAACUUCUUGCAUAGCCUCAUUGAGUCUUCUUUGAUCUUCAAUGGAUAGUUAAGCACCACCAAAUAGAUUUCUUCCUCUUUUGUAAGACCGCCAAUGUGGAAUCAACCUGCACGUAAGUCAAACAAGAGGAAGAAAUAACCGAUAAAGUAGAACAAGGGCCGAGAAAUUUAUACUGAAGGUGUGAAGGCAAUAUUUUCAACUCCAAAGUAGGUGUCUUUUCAAUAGAUGGCUUUGUAGGAAGAGUCUUCCUAUUCACAAGAUCCAAAGAUAAUUUCUGGGGUGCAUAGUUGUACGACCCUAUUCCUUGCAAAGAGUUCACACAUUCCAUGAAACCAUCCAUCACGCCAUCAUCAAAAUUGAGCAAAACGACCUCCAAUAUAUCACCAACAUUGAUUGUAGGACUUGUAUUAUUAAUAAUAACAUUGGUCUCUAAGUCCACAAAAAAUACACCUCAUUGCUAUUUGGUUGCCGCAUGGACUUACACACAUGGAAUACCACUUGUUCAUAUCCAACCCGAAAAGUGUGUUCUUCGGCUUUUAUAUCACAAAGAGCCUUACCCGUAGCAAGGAAAGGUAUCCUAAUAAUGAUAGGCACUUCAUAAUCAAAUUCAUAUUCUUGAAUAACAAAGUCCGUCGGAAGAAUGAAUUUAUCAACCCGGACUAAAACAUCUACAAUCACACCCAACGGCCUCUUCAUGGUACGAUCGACCAUUUACAACCUCAUAGAAAUGUGUCUUGGUUUUUCAAUUCCCAAAGUCUUGAAAACCGAAUAGGGCAUCAAAUUUAUACUUGCCCCAAGAUCACAAAGAGUUUUAGCAAACUCGGCACUCCCAAUUGUAUAAGGAAUCGUGAAAGCACUGGAUCUUAUUACUUAGGGUCCAUUGAAUGAACAAUUGCACUCACAUGAUGAGUGACCCUAAUAUUUUCAAAAUUCAUCGACCGCUUCACGGUCACAAGAUCUUUAAUAAAUUUUGCAUAACCGGGCAUUUGUUCCAAAGCUUCUACCAAUGGCACAUUGAUUGAAAGACUCUUCAUCAUUUGAAUGAAGUUCUUAAAUUGAUUCUCACCAUUUUGCUUGGCAAGUGUUUGAGUGUGUAGAGAUGGAGGCUUAUGCAAUGGUGCCUUCGCCUUUUGCACUACCGGUUCUGGUAUGUCAAUGAUGUGUUCCCUAGACGGGUUCACCUCCUCUUGAGUCUCUUCAACACUAACAUCAAUAUCAAUCCGAACUUCCUCAUUUGCUUAGACGACAUUGUUUGGAAUCUCUUCUUCUUACAUCACUUGGUCAUCAUCGACAAGUCGCCUUUCACUUGAGGUGGGUUCAUUCCCGCCUCUUCCACUUCUUGUGAUAACCACCAUAGCAUGCCCCGUAUUGUUACCAUACUUUAGGUUCACCACCGUGUCACUUAUUAAUAUAUCCCGAGGACGAAAAUUUAGUGCUUGAGAUAUUUGCCCCAUUUGCACUUCGAGAUUACAGAUUGAUGUGUUGUGUGAGGCAAGUUGGCCAUCCGAAUCGGCAUUAUUUUCCAUCAUUUGCUUGAAUGUAUUCUCAAUACGUCCCAUCUCAUUGUUUGAUGAGCUUAACCCAUGGGAAGGAUAAAGAGAUUGGUUGCUUGUUUGUUGAUAUAUUGGGGGCCUUUGAAAACCCGACCCCUGGUUGCCUUGAUUGUUUCACCAACCACCUUGAUUGUUGUCUCCCCAAUUUCCUUAGAUGUUUCCACUCCAAUUUACUUGGUUAUUGUUAUUAUGCCAAUUUUCUUGAUUGUUAGAACUCCAAUUGCCAUUUUUAUUUUGUGGUUAUCAUUGUUAUUGAUUUGAGCCUUGGAAGUUGUUUCUUUGCCCUUUAAAAUUAUUCACAUAUUGAACUUCCUCCUCUUGCUCAUUUUAAGAAUCAUCUUGAUCAAAUCAUUAACUCUCUCCAUAGCACUUGCUUAGGAGCUUUCACUUGAUUGAGUUGGCCCUUUGCUAGUUGAGUUAUAGUUGUUGUCAAUUAGGCAAUGACUUGCCCAUGGUCUUGCAACUCUUUGUGAAGGUGUAUCAUAUUCGGAUCACUUUGUGGGACAUUAGCCCGGGAUUGCCAGGCCGAUGACGUUUCCUCCAUCUCAUCCAGAAUGUCACAUGCCUCUGCAUUGUCAUGAAGUUUUCACCGGCUAGUUGGUUCACUACACAUUAAUUGGUUGUGUUAAUCCCACGAUAGAAAGUUUAUUGUAACAUGUUCUUCGUCAUAUCAUUGUUAGGACAUUCCUUAACCAUUAUUCUAUAACGUUCCCAAAUUUCGUGUAGUAGUUCAUUUGGUUCUUGCUUGAAUGCCAAGAUUCCAUUCCGAAGGGUAGUCAUGUGCCCAACAGAGAAACACUUAGUAAUGAACCUGGCCGCCAACUCAUCCCAAGUGUGUAUUGAAUGGUUCAUCAAAUGUUUUAACCAAUCUAAAUCUUUUCCCCAUAGAGAGAAGGGAAGAGGCCUUAGCCUCAAGGCAUCCUCCGAAACAUUAGUUUGCUUGCUCCACCAACAUGUAUCCAAAAAUCCUUUCCAAUAUUUGUAAGCAUUUUGAGUUCGUGCACCGGUGAAGAAGCCCCGUUGCUCAAGCAAAAUGAGCAUCACGUUGUUGAUUUGAAUGUUGCCCGCCCUAAUACGGGGAUGAACUAUUGCACUAGCAUAAUCUUCGUUGGGAAAUAUCCGGUGUUGAGUCGCUUGUGGUGGAUGUGGUGGAGGUGGGAGUGGUAGGGGCACGUUAUCUUGUGGAACCCAACCUCGUAGAUUAGGUUGUGGCAUUUGAGGUACCUCAUCGAGUUGUUCCUCCUUACCAUCCAAGUCCUCCAAAGGAAUAUUUCUGAGCUCAUUAUUCGCCAUGUUUGUAUCUAUGAUUUCUUCAACAAGUUAGUAACAUAAAAGGGAAAGAAGAUAUUUCAAAAACACACACAAAUACAUAGAUAACACCGUUAAAAUUCCCCAGCAACGAUGCCAAAAAUUGAUCCACGCCCAAUCCACACUCAAUCAAUGAGUGGAAAGUGUCGUUGGAAGAAUAAUACCCAACAAUGAGUCGGGGUCAAUUUUCUCAGGGAGUUAAAUAUGGGUGUUAGGGUGUACACUUGAUGAGCGUAGAUGAAAUAGCUCAAUUAUACUUCCAAACAAGAGGGUUUUGUAAUUUACUUCUACAAUCUACGCUAGCAGUGAUUAACUAGAGAAAGAAACUAGAGAUUGAAUAAUUGUUUUUGUUGUUUUUAAAAUGGGUAAAAGGCUUAGGGUUGUAACCUUCACCUAGAUGUUAGCCUAAUGGGUUAAUUGUGUUAACACUUAUUAUAGUGAUCGGGGUGUAUUAUAGCUGUCAACUCUAAAUUACCUACUCAAUACCUCUCGGUCAUAGAGUAAUUUUGCAAGUCAAAUAGUUGACAUGAGCUCAAGUCGGGUUUUUCCUAUCUCUAGUUCAAACCCUUUAAUUAGGCUAGCCAAAACCUUAACUAACCAAAUUUCUUGUUAGCCAAAGUUUCCUAGAUUAGGUCCCUUUUUCUCAAAUAAGAACCAAGUCAAAAGGCAUGAAUCAAUGUUUGCAAACAUUAAUUCUAAAAAUAAUGUAUGAACAAGACUAAACAAUAAACACUCAAUCAUAAACAAAUAUUAGAUUAAUUACCCAUAAGGUUUACACGCUAGGGUUGGAUCACAACCCUAGAAAAUAUCUAACUACUCAUAAUAGAAAUGGAAGAAAAUAAAGAAGAAAUACUAAUUAAAGCCAUAAUACAAAAUUAAAAUGUUAAACUAAUGUGUUUUAACCCAAAUUUAAACUACAAUGGCUAUAACUCAAAAAACUAUAAAACUUACCCUAAAAAGUGUUUCCCGUCUAUUUAUAGUGGCCCAAAAUUCGCUGACAAAAAUGCUUUUCGAGAGGUUCGGCGGCCGCACAAUUCCAUGUGCGGUCCGCCUUUUACUUGGUUCUGCAUGUUGGGGAAUUCUGAAGCCGCAUAAUUUGGUAUGCAGCUGCACUUCAGCUUCUACGGCAGCACUUUUCCUUCAACGACUGCAAUUUUGGCAAGAUUUCACUCUUGGUCAUUUUGCACUCUCUGAACUUUUUGAAUUCUUGUCAGUGCGAUCAUAUUUUGCAGCCGCACAAUUUGUGUGCGAUCCGCACUUUGCUUCAAUCAUCAUCUGAGCUUCAACAUCAGAUAUGCGGUCGCGGAGAGAAUCUUCGGUCUGCGCUUUCUUCUGCGGCUGCAGAAUUACUCCCGUGGGCCGCACUUUUGGCCUAUUGCGCUCUUUCUUGCCUUAUAAGUUGGAACACUCCCCUUUUAGUUAGAUUUCUUCAUUAAAGUCCAAUUCUCCAACAUUCCUGCAAUUUGUACAAUUUUAUUAGUUUUGGGAACAAAAAUCAACACUUUCGUACUAAAACUAAAGAAAGAGGAUGCUAAUAAGUAGUUAAAAUCUACUCUUAUCUGGGCAUACUAUAAAACGUCUCACCACCAUCACUAUUCUCACCUUAUUUGAACUCACAAAUGCUCGAAUAUUAAAGAUAAUAUCUAAAUAUUUUCUUUUAAAGUAAACCUCGCAAUAUUCGUAUCUAACAACUUUCAUCGAUAGAUCUAUCAAAAUAAAUUUUAAGGCCCCAAACCUUUUAUACCUAAGGAGCUAAAAAUGAUCACCUCCCCUUUUGUGGCAAUAUUCACAAUUUUGAAAUAAUAACGCAUUAGUGCGCACUCAAUCGUUAUUAAACUUGCUUGAAAUUUAUUUUUUUAUCCAUCAAAUUUAGCUAAUUAAUAAUGUUGAUUUUUUUCUUUUUUCAUGAGAGUAUUGAAAUCUAACGGUUACAUCAAAUGCUCCAAAAAGUAUUUAAAUUUAGCAAGUAUUAACUAUCGUUACCUAAGGACAAAAUGAUUCUAAAUUCUCUUAAUUUGUGUGAAAUAUUGUAAUCUAAAACUUGUACAAGUAAUAUCUUACAAUCGGGAUAAUUUAUUCGGGUUAUGUACUUUUACAUUACAUAUUUUCAUACAACUUCAUAAUAUUAUUUAGUAGCUUGUUUAAAAGUGUUACAAUUCAAAACUUGUAAUAUAUUAUAACUAGGACGAUUAAAUAGGGGUUACGUAUUUUUUAUGCAAACUUCAAAAACAUUACUCCAUAGCUCGUUUAAAUUUACCACUCUAAUUUGUAAAAGAUAUCUCUGAAUCUCCAUUUCUAUCCAUUCUCAUGAGUUUGUGAUUAUAAAUGUAUGCAUGAUCGAAAUGUAUAGUAUUGUUAUUGACUAAACAAGAAAGCUCAAUCCGAAAUGCUAACCUAUUAGGUGAAAGAAUCCAUUUAACCUAUAAACUCAUUACUAUUUUUCUUUUGGCCAAAUACAAAGACAACAUGUAACGACCUGAUCGGUCAUUUUAAGCAUUAUCAUUCCAUUCAGCUGUUUGAAGUCUUGAGUAGUUUCGUAUGAUGUAUUAUGACUUGUCUGAAUCGUCGGUUUUGGUUUACAUGUUAUUCAGAAUUGAUUUGGAAGAAUAAUCCUCAACUAGAAAGUUUUAAGUUGGAAGAGUUGACCGAGUUUUACUUUUGUGUAUUUGACCUCGGAUCAGAGUUUUUAUGGUUCCGUUAGAUCCGGAUGGUGAUUUUAGACUUGAGCAUAUGCCCAAAUUUGCAUUUGGAAGAUCCUAGAAGGUUUCGACACUAUUUGGCGAAAGUUGGCAAUUUAAAGGUUUGGAAUGUUUAUAAGUUUGACCGAGAGUUAAUUUUGAUGAUAUCGGAUUCGUAUUGUAGUUUCGGGAAUUUGAAAUAGCUUAGUUAUAUCAUUUGGGAUUUGUGUGCAAAGUUUGAGUUCAUUCCGAGUUGAUUUGAUAAGGUUCAACACGAGUUUUGGAAGUUGAAAAAUUCAAAGUUCAUUAAGUUCGAUUUGAGGCGCGAUUCGUGGUUUUGAUGUUGCUAUGCAUGAUUUGAGGCCUCGUGUAGGUACGUGUUAUGUUAUGAAAUUUGUUGGAAUGUUCGUAUGGGGUCUCGAGGGGCUCGGGCGUGAUUCGUAUUGAUUUCAGAUCAUUUUUCUUCAUAUUUGCAUUGCUGGUUUUUGCUGAUAUCUGGUACACCAAAUGUUCUUUGCGAUCACGAAGUUGGAGGUGCGAUCCCGUAGAGGAAAAUUUGGAACUAUGUAGUUUCUUAAUCGUGAUCACUAUUGGAAGACCACGCGUUCUCAUAGGAAUCAUAGCGUUCGCGUAGAUUUGUGUUGGUUAUAGUACGCGUUCUCAUAGGAGUCUUCGUGUUCGCAUAGAGCUGAGCUGAGAGUUGGGAGUUGGUAGAUUCUUCAACGUGUUCGCGUAAGAUGGGAUGCGUUCGCGAAGGUUGGGCGCAUGUGUGCUUCGCGUUCACAUUGUCAGUGUCGCAAACGCGUAGAGCUUUUGGGUGGCAGUGGCACUUGUUCUCCGCGAUCGCGAAGGUUGUUCCACAAUCGCAAUGAAUAUCCAUGGGUAGUGAAUUUUAUUUAGAGGGUUUCGACCAUUUUAAUACAUUUGGAGCUAUGGAGCUCAGAUUGAGACAAUUUUCGAGGUGAUUUUCACCAUAUGGAUUGGGGUAAGUGUUCUCUACUCAGUUUUGAUUAUAUUUCAUGAAUCUAUCUUCGUUUUGGCAUUUGAUUAAUGAAUUCAAGAGAGAAAUGGGGGGGAGGGGUUGUCUAAAAUUUCAUAGAGUAAAAUUUUGAGUUUUGAUCAUCGAUUUGGAGUCGAAUUUGAGUGAAACUAGUAUAGCUGGACGCGUAAAUGAGUGAGUUAUCGGACUUUUUGAGUUUUUUCAGUUUUUGAGGUACAGGCCUGAGUUUGACUUUUUAGUUGACUUUGGGAUUUUGAUUAAAGAUUCCACCUUUAUCGAUUGGGUUUGCUUUGUUUGUCAUUAUUCGAUGUUCUUGAGUUGCUUUUGGCUAGUUUCGAACCGUUCGGAGGUCGGUACGCGCGGGAUGGCAUUUCUAGAAUAUUGUUUGGCUUGCUCGGUAUUGGAUUUGGCUUGUUUGAGGUAAGUUGCACUUCUAAACUCGGUGCUGAGGGUAUGAACCCCUGAAUAUAUGUGUUAUGUGUUUGGUGUUGAGGUGACGCACAUGCUAGGUAACGGGCAUGUGGGCAUGCACUGUGUGAAUUAUGACUCGAUUGAUUCUGUGGUACUGUGUAGUGACCUAAUCUUGUUUCUAUCCAUGAAAUUUCUACAUGCUAGAGUAAUUGAGUCGUGACCCAUGUUAGAAACCAUAUUUAGGCUAUAUGCUUAUCCUGUUAGGACCCACAAAGGUCAUUUCUGUUGUUGAGUUAUUUGCUUAAAUUGCAAUUACACGCUCAGUCAUACUCAUUCAUUACAUAUUAUAUCUCAAUCUCUAUUAUCAUUUGUUUCACAUCAUAUUAUCAUUAUUUGGGCUGAUUGGCACGAGAUUUGUGAGGUUGAGAGACUGGAGAGGAUGAUGACUGAGCGAGGCGGGCCUCAUUGUGAGUGAUAUUUAUGGGAUCGGGCUACACGCAACAACAUGCUUUAUUAAAUCAUGCUAUGAUUGGCUUAUAUUAGAGCUUGGACAAGAUCCGCCCCUCAGGAGUCUGACAUACCAGCAAUGAGCGUAGAUACCUACUGAGCGCGAGUGCCGAGUGACUGGGAGGACUGAGCAAUUGAGCAUGUUGAGUGAGGUUGACUGCUCUGAGAGCAUGAGCACAUGAGUUUAUCACGAUGGUGCAUUGCACUUGGCAUGUAGGCAUAGAAAUGCAUUUCCUCAUGUUGUACGGUAUUGUGACAUCCAUGACUUUACAUGCACAUUGACAUGUAGGCAUAGAGAUAUACUUUCCUCAUGCCAUUUGAUAAUGAAACAUCCUAUCUGUUGUUAAAAGUUACUUUUUGAGAAAAAUCACAAAUUUCUGAUAUACUGACAUUUUGGUGAUGUCGGUGAAAGAUUUGGGUUUUUACUGUUAUACCUGAAAAGCAUGCCUAUUUUUUGUUACUGUGAACGAGCUUAGCAUUAAUCUUUGAGUUAUUACUUGUACUACUUUAUUUAUAUUAUUAUGAGUUAUUCUUGGCUGUUGGUGUUGGGCUCUGAUCAUUGUCCAAGCUCGUCACUACUUUCAACCUAAGGUUAGGUUUGUUACUUAUUGAGUACAUGGGGUCGGUUGUACUCAUACUAUACUUCUGCACCUUGCGUGCAGAUUUUGGAUGUUGAUGUUGUUGUGUAUAGCGGGAGCUAUCAUUGAAGAUGUACCUGUGUUCCGUUCAUAACUGCCUCUUGUUCUUGGUAGCUUUAAAUUAUUAAUCUGUUAAUGUAUACUUCAAACAGAUGAUGUAUUUAUUUCAUACCAACUUUGUAAACUUUAAAUCUUAGAAGCUCAUGAUUUGUACUGCCAGUCCUUGGGAAGUGUAUAAAAGUUCAGUUAUUUCAUCAUUUAUCUUCUUAGUAAAUCUCAUUGAAUUGGAUUAUUGUUAAUUGGCUUACCUAGCAGGUUGAGUUAGGUGUCAUCAUGAUUAGUUAGAUUUUGGGUCGUGACACAACCCAUUCAACUUGGCACCAUUUUUUAUUUUGGCACUUUAUCGCAACCUUGUUCCAUUUGGCAGUCCAAUCCUAUUUAUUAUGUGCCACUUUAACACAAAAGUUGAUUAGUCACAAAGUGUGAGUUCCCUUACAUAGUAGGCGCAUGAGAUAGCUUUUAAUUCCCCAACCGCCUUCUCCAACGGUAAUAAAAAUUAUUGUUUGCCCCAUAUAUAAUCCCUCAACCUCCUUCCCCAUUAUUUUAUCUACAUUCUCAAAAGGCCUUCUCAAAAUAGUUUCCAAUGUUUUUAAUCUGAUUUCAUCUACCAUUUGCACCCAAGAGAAUCCAGAAAGCGUCAAACUUUUGCGAUUUUUUGGUUCCUUUAUUUAAUCUAAUUAGAUUUUUUGUAGCUUUAUUUCAUCUAAGCUUGAAGUUUGAAGUGAAUCCAUGUCUCAAAGAAAAUUAUUUUCUCAGAAUGGAAUGAGUAUUUGUUCCGGUGGAUUCAAGUUGAACUGAAAGUAAUGGUCGCUAAAAAAUCCAUGUCGUCGAUUUUAUGGGUGUAAAUUUGACAAAGUAAACCAUUUUCUACUUUCGUUUUUAGUGUUGUAAUUUUCUUGUCUCCGUUUGCAUUAAUUCAUAUGCUUUAUUUCUUGUUCUUUACAGCGUAGUUGCAAUUAUUUUGGAUGGUAUGAUGAUGAGUUUCCAGCUCAAGCAAACAAGGUUAUUUAUGGUUUGCUAAACAGAGUAAAAGGAAGAGAUGCAAAGUUGGCUAUGUGGAAGAAGUUAGGUGUGUUUUUUGUUGUGUUCAUGCUAUAGAAUUUGCUAGGUUUUUCUGUUUUUUAUUGAUGUAAUUUGAGUCAAUAGGUGCAAAGUUAGCUAGGUGGAAGAAGUUUUUUGUGUUUGUUGUUGUGUUCAUGCUAUGAAAUUGGUGAGGCCUUCCAUGUUUUUAUUCAAUUCUUGAAAGAGUUCAUUAUAAGGAUCGUGUAAAGCCUUUUUAAUUUUCGUCAAAGCAACAACUGCUCAUUCAUUAUAUAUAUAUAGAAAUAAUCACUCUUUUAGAUGAUUUUCACUGUAAAAGAUUAAAUCAUAAUUUGAGAGUUAUGCAGAGGAAUUGAUUUAUACUUAGCCUAAUUAACAGAAGUAAAAUUUAAGGACAAGUGAAAACAUGUAGAAAAGUAAGCCCCGCACCAACAUUCUUUAUCAUAUGCCAGUAAUUCUUCACAUAUCUCCUUAUUCCCAAGUUUUGCCAUGUUUGCAAUUUCUUUCUUGAACUUUACUUCAUAUGAAGACUUUGCACGUUUACAAAAUUACAUUCUUCUUUCUUUUCCUCUCCAAUUUUUGGUCCAAUUAGACCAAAUAUGUCUAACACAUAUUCUGUGCUCUGCAUUAGGUAAGUUCCUUAAGGGUUGGAACCAGACCCUAUAAAAUAAGAAA
rnacentral:lncRNA from 1 species